rnacentral:lncRNA from 1 species
AGGCUGGUGCUCUUCGUGAGAGCUUGACCAGGAAGAAGCGUGUCGGUUGGGAAAUCGAAGCUCUGCCAUAUCACAACGUCGGAGGAAAUGUUCUGGCUUUCGAGGAGUACGAGGUUGCCGUUGUCUUGCAAACGUAACUGGACUUGUUUAGAUGUGGCGGCAGUGUUGGUGGACCAGACUUGGAACUGGGCGGCGUCGGUGAGAACGAGGUUGCCGGAUUUGAGAAGGGAGAGGGUGGAGCGUUUUCCGUUAACGGGGUGGUCCCGGUUGGCGAUCCAAACGAGGGUGUUGGGUGAGUUGGUGUACCAUAUUGCGAAGCAGAAAGCGUUUUGUCCGACGGCGUAAAAGCCUGCUGUGAAUGUUGGUUUGGGUGAUGACACUAUCACGUCUUCUUUCAACUUCUCUACGGAGAGAGACAAGGAAGAUGAAGCAUGCAACUUAUGGAACAAUAUCAGAGGAAUCAGAACACCCAAACACACUCUUGAACAUGCCAUUUGCAUGAUACUGCGUGCUAAUGUUGAAGUUCAUGUCAUUAUUUAAAAUGAAAGAGAACAAAAGAAGCCACCAUUUUCCUCUGCUUUGUUCACUCUUUUCUCAGUACUUUCCAUCGUUUUCUUGUUUCUCAAAGAACUGAAAAGUCAAUUGUCAAAUGAUAAAUAAAGUUCGUUGGUUUUUAUAAGGAAAAUGAUGGUUAAACCACUGGCACCGCAGUUGCUCAAUCAUACAACUAUCUACGUGUCAAAGUAGUGUGAAAGUUAAUAUUAUUUUAUUGAAGUUGUGGAGCAGUUUAAUACGUUUAAUAGAUUAAAAAUUUCUUUAAAGGUCAGAAAGGAUAAAAAUUAGGGUUUAAGAUAUUGGGGUGUCUUCUUCUUCCGUAGCCAUUGUCUUUUUCAUUCUUGUUCACGUUCCUUCAUUCUCGUGUAAGUGUAUUCUUGUUCACGUUCCUUCAUUCUCGUGUAAGUGUCGUGCGCAUUGUUCUUUAUUGCUGCAAGUGUUGUGCACAUCCUUCAUUCUCGGGCAAAUGUUGUGCACAUUGUCCUUCAUUGUUGCAGUGCACAUUGUCCUUCAUUGUUGCAGUGCACAUUGUCCUUCAUUGUUGCAAGUGCAAGGUCAUGAGAAUAGGACAGUGUGAAGUGAACACAAAAAUUCACUCAACUUAUAGAGUGACAAUAUGUGGUGACCCUAGUAGGAAUAUGUGGUGACCCACAUUACACUUCCUGCACAAACCCAAGAAAAUUUUUUAUGGAAAUGAGAAGUGAGUGUUCGUCUUGGUUGGGGAGGGGCAUGAGGUGGGGAGAAAGUGGGUUAAAUAAGUUUCUUAGAGACCAUGAGAGUAUGACAGUGUGAAGUGACCACAAAAAUUCACUCAACUUAGAGGGUGACAGUAUAUGGUUACCCUAGUAGGAAUAUGUGGUGACCGACAUUAAACUUCCUGCACAAAUCCAGGGAAACUUUUUAUAGAAUGGAAAGUGAGUGUUCACUGCCUUUUAAGGGAGUUAUGUACUAGAUGGGUGGAGAGGAGUCACAGUUUUGUAGUGAACUCUACAGUUGUCUCAUUUACUGUGUUAGAUGUUUUUUUAGGUAUAGGUCUUAAAGUUGUGGGAGACAAAUUUGACUAAGCAAAAAUAGAAAACAAUUGUAAGAGUAGGAGUUUUUUCAAACAUAGUGAUGUAUAUGAGAAAAUGAUUUAUGAGAAAAACUAAUGCUACAUAUAUCCAUGUUGGUGGUUGUGUCUACUUAAUGUAGGUAAUUUAAAAUGUUUAGUUCGUAUGUGUAAUGACUUCCCAUCCAUUUUGUGGUUACUAACAUUAAUUUAUGACAUGAAUUGUGUAGAUAUGGGUUCUUGAACAUUUGUUCUCUUAUAAGCGCCAAGUGCCGAUAUUGGAAAUAGAUAUCCUUGUAUCACAUACUGGAUUAAUGUUAGGCUGGGUGACAUUGAAAUUGCAUGUGGGUCGCAACAAAAUGUGGUUUGUAGAAUACAUGAAAUUUUUAUUAAAUGUAGAAUACUUAAAUUUUUUUUUCAUUUAUGUUGGUAUUUAUUGUGUGCAUGAACAAAUUAUUGUGGACUUAUUUGUAUCCAAUGAAGAGCUGCAAAUGAAUUCGUUCUAUAAGCAUUUGAGGUAGUUCGACGUGGAUUUACAACCAUGUAAAAAAAAAGAUUAUGGUAAAAUGAAGCUGAGAGUAGUUGAUAUGCUUCGCCAAGCGAAGAAAUAAUAGGUUGUCAUUAGCAAUUUGGAGAAGGAGUUGAAAGAGUUACAAGGAUUUUUAACUGCAUAGGCAAAAUCUGAUGUGCAUGAUAGUUCUUCUGUAGAGGAUAACGAACAUCUGUAGAGGUCUUAUGUUGAUGAUAAAGACGUACCCGAAGAACAAGAUGGAAGAAAAGAAAAAAGUAACAAUUCCACAUGAGUCAAGCAUAGAGCAAGAAAAUGUGUGAAGUUGUCAUGAAAACAUCAUGGACUAGCUAUGCAAGGGCAAAAUGAAUUUCUUAGUCAUAAUUAAAAGGAAUCGUACAUGAGGUGUUUAAUACUUAAGUAUGUUUAUUAUGAAAUACUUGUUAAGAAUGAUACAUGUUUAUUUCACUGGGUGUAAUGUGGUUAUAAAAUUUAAUACAUGUAUUUAGCAACUACCUUCUAGUUUUAUCAACUGUAAAUUGAUUGAAAUUUUUUAAGUGUUUUUGAUUCUUAAUUCUCUUCCAUUUAUGUGGUUGAAGUGAAUAUAUUUUUUAAAUUUGUGAUUGUUGAAAGAGACCCUUUUACUAAAGCAAUAAGAUAUCAAUGAAUAAGACUAAUUAGGUAUCAUCAAUAAGAAAAAAUAUUGAUUUUAGAAAGAUUUGAGGGUAUAAAAUUUUAGAAGAUAAAAGGAUAAGAUUUUAAAAAAUUAUAAAAAAUGUAUAACUAGUGUGAAUAUGGUUGAAAUUUGAUUACGUUUAAAUUAAUACAUUGAAGUCGUCUUACUUGACCUGAUUUUAAUAUUUAUAUUUUUUUUAACGAAAUUUUUGUGAUAUCAUAAUCUUGUAUCUAUUUUGAUAAUUUUUAAAAAUUUCAUCUAUUUUAAUAAUUACUUAAUAAAAAAGAAGAAAUUGAUGGUUUAUGUAUGGAAAAGUAAAAUAAGAAGUAAACGCUGCGAUGUGAAGUGGUAGAUGAAAUUAUUUAAGAUGGACAAAUCAAAAACAUGUGCCGCGUGUCCCUUCGGUCAAAAUAUCUAAUUUCAACAAUGAUAAGAAAAAGUUAUAUCGAAAAUAAAAUAGAAAUUAAAGGCAUGUUUUUGCUCUCAAUGAUAAAAAAAAAUUAUAAUAAGAGAUUUUCCUACCAAUAUUAAUCAUAGUCAAUAUGUUUACAUUUUUAUGGCUUUGAAAGGAGGAUAUGAUAAAAAAAAGCUUUGUUUUUUCAUUAUAUAUAUAAAAAAAAGACGGUAGAAGAUAGAGAAAUUCACUUUCAAUUUAAAAACUCUUUUUUUUUAUCAUAAUAUAUAUAUAUAUAUAUAUAUAUUAAUUUCUACUUGUACAUAAUUAUUUAAAAGUAAGUCACUUUUAACCUUUUUUGUCAAUUAAUCACUUCGAAAAUGUUGGAAAUGGGAAAGUUCAGGGAAUUGCAAUGAAGACCAAAGAAGUGAUUGAGUAGCUCAAUUUGAAUACAGUAAUGAGAAGUCAGAAAAGAAGACUUAGAGAUGCAUUCUUUAUGUUCUUCUGUUAUCUAUUCACAUUAGGAAGAGAAAAGUUUAUUAUACUAUUAUUUUCUUCUUAUAUUUUUUUAUAUAUAUUAUAAAAAAAAGUAAAGAAAACCUGUGUAAUCUUUCAAAAUUAAGAGAAUAUUUUAAUAAUUUCAUAGAGACUAUAAAGAUUUAAAGUGGUAUAGAUAAGGAUGAAAAUGAAAUAUUUCUAAGUAUGUAAAUUUUUUAAAAAAUAUUUCAAAUUACAAUUUUUGAUAGAUUUUAUUUUUAAAUAAAGAGAAAGAAUUAUUAAAUAAAAAGUAAAACCACAAAAAAAGUCAUACUUGCAAUAGUUUUCAAGCAAUAGUAGAAAGAGAGUAUUGCUAAAAAAAGAGAGAGAAAGAAAAGAGAAUUAGAAAAAGUGUCUAUCCUUUCGUCCAAAGAAGAAUUAUUCUUAUAGGUUUACUCUAAUGGUGUGAUUACCAUUACUGAAAUAAUUUAUUGAUUUAGUGUAAUUUGUUUUUAUAAUUACCUAAAUGGGUAAGUUCUAAAAAAAAUCCAAAUUAGUUCAAUUGGAAGUAGUAGUAGUACUAACACCAGUUUAUGGUGGAAGUAUCUUUUUUAAUUCUCAAAGUGUAGCCAUAUGUUUUAAAUGAUUCUAGUUUAAGUUUUAAAGUUUUUUGUUUUUUCAAAUAUUAAUUAAAUAUAAUAUUUUUUGCAAAUACACAUGUCCUAACUUUGAAUUUAUGUUUAUUUUAAAAUGGAAUUUAUGUAUAAAAAAUAUGAGAAAAGAUAACGUAUUCAUAGUAAAGCAACGCAUGAAAAAUAAGUUAUUUAUUUAGAAACUAGCUAUGCAUACAUCUAAUCAUUUAUAUUAAUAAUAUUAUAAUGAUAACUUUCAUUUCAAUUCAAAGAGCAUUUAUAAACCCAAAUGUUAUCAUGUGUUGAGAAGUUCUUUUUAUUAUUCAAUUGUUGUCGUGCAAUUGAGAAGUUCUCGUGAUGAUUAUUAUGUAGUAACUUUUUUUCACCCAAACAAAACUUUAAUAUAGAUUUAUGUAAAAAUGUUCUUUUAUAUCACAUCAUAUAAACAAAUAUUUUUAUGUUAGCUUACUAGGUAAGUGGAAGUGGAGGUUGAAAUAUGAGGCAAGUGGUUAUGAAAAAACAUUGUUCAAUUUAAAUAUAAAUAUAAAUAUAGUAGUAUGAGAAAUAAGUGUAAUAGGUGUAAAGAGUGAAGAUAACGAAAGGAUAUUAAGGAUAUGGAUGAACUUGCAAUGUUCAGCUAAGUAGGGUUCGACUUGAUAAGAGAAUUUGGAGAAUAGGUGAAAAUCAUGAGUUCUCUAGCAAAUCAACUUAGAUGUAUUACAACAUCAUGGUACGAGGGUGAGAUGAAAUGUUUUUAGGUCUAUGGAAAGUUAAAACAUUUUUCUUGGCAUGUCCUCGUAGGGGUGUCCAUUUCAGUGACAAUUUGUGUGUUUAUUGCUCAGUUGAUUAUAACAUUAUGAGUAUAAUUUUAUUCACAUUUUAAAAAUUUAAUCAUAUUUUCUUGGAUUGUAAUUAUGAAUGAAUUCACUAUUUUAAAUGAGAUUAAUUUAAUUAGAUUUAUUUGGGUCUUAACUAUCAUUUCUAUUAAUUAUGUGUUGUUAGAGUAAAUGGUCGGCUAGACAGUCUGAAUGAAGUUUCUACCUUUGUGAGUGAGCCAUGCAAAUGUCCAAGUUGAUUCUUUGAAUCAAAACAUAAAAAGAAAUUUGAGGAGAAGAAUAAGAGAAUAAAAUCUACAAUAUUAAAAAAAAACAGAAUUGGAAACAAAUUUCAUGCAAAACACAAAGAAACAAAAUCAUGAUAAAUCUGGAAAUAGAAUUGUGAUAAAAAGGAAACAAAAUUCGAGAAUUCUAGAAAGUUGGAAACGGAAAACUGUUAACAAAAUCUGAACCAGAAUAUUUUUCUGAGACCCUUAGAGCAGCAAAACCUAUUGAAACAUACAAGCUUCAAUGAGAAAUCAUCAAACUUCACAAUAACGUUUGAAAAAGAGAUCAUGAAGGUUUUCUUAGUUUUCUAGUUUUCUUCUUUCUAAUACUUUUGUUUUGCCUUCGCAUGUAAGGAUAAACUCCUUUGAGUUGAUUCUCUUGUAAUUUCAUAAUGAAUUAUGAGAUUUUGUGCAGUUAAAGUUUUGUUCUUCAAUAUCUGACUGCGGUAAAAUGUUUAGUAUUUUUUUGAGUUUAAUUGCUAUUUUGGAAAUUGUUUUUAAACACAUGUUGAUAAUUCAAUUCUAUCUUUAAUUAGACUCAUGUUUAGUUUCCUGAAAAAUAUCUUGAGCGCAUGAUUCAAGAGGUAAAAGAUAACAAAUAUUUUUAGUAUACGCAUGGAGGAGACAAGUACGGUACCAAAUAAAUUAGUGGACACAUGUUUCAUUAAUGAGAUUCAAAUGUCUUUGGCUGACGUAUGUUGGUCAAUUCAAUUCCUUUUAGACGAUUGAAUGAAUGAUAUAUUUAUUAACUAAUGAAGAAUUCAUUGAUGGAAAAGCCUAAAAGUAAUUAUUUUAUAAUCUCUACUUUAUUUUUCUGCACAACAAUCUCUAUUCCUUUUACUUUAUUGUUAAACUUUUAUUGCAUGCAGAUAGAUUCUUACCACUCAUUUACUGAAUUGACUAUAGAAUUCGAUGGGAGACGAUUUUGGGUUAUAUGACCUUAUUUAUAUAUACUAUAUGAUCUCUUUGGUGUUAGACACUCUCUAUUUAAAUCAUUUUAAUUUUAAUGCUAAACGAAAAUUAUCACACAUCAAUACAUGAAACUAGUGUCAAAAAUGGCUGGCUAUCCGUAAUGUCACACACAAAAGGUCAAAGGACAAUUUUAAUCACUUCAAAAUGUCAUUUUCUUACCUCUAAACAAAACCUGAUUUGAAAAGGGGCGUGGGUUGUGUUAGUGUGGACUAUUUGGAAGCAAAGGAAUUUAAUUGUUUCUCAAAAUCGAAAAAUAGAUGCUAAACAGGUAUUGUGUGUGGCACAGUUGAAGGUAUGUGUUUGGAUAAGAAACAAAUUUCCCUUAUCAUAGUUCACUUACUCAUUUUGAUACUUAAAUCCCAUAAUUUUUUUAAAACAUUAACUUAGGAGAAGAGGUCUUAGGAUACCAACUGGUACACAAAGUACAUGUGGUACACAAAUAUUAAUUCUCUACUAAUGGUUAUGACUCUAGGGCUAAGAUAGAUAGUGUGUGCAGGUGUUCAAGAACAUAAGGGAAGGCUCCUACAAGGGUUGUAAUGAGCAUAGACACAAUGCACAUGAUACAACAAAAAAUAAUAUUAGUGAAGAAUGGACAAGGAAGGUUACCAAAAGCUAUAAAGAUGGUAUGUAGUUUGGAAUUAAAUGGAACAUAACUGCAUUGCCAGAGAAAAACUUUUAGGAAUAGAACAAGUCUGCAUAACAGUGGUGAUUGCUACAGGAAACUACAUAUGAUUGCUCAAUUUAACACAGUAGCCACUUUUAAGCUAUCUAACAGAGCAGAUGUGUUGCCACUAGAUGAACGCAAAAUGAUUUGUGAUAGAGAAGCGUGAACCGACAAAGACACGUAAUUGAGAUAGGCACAACUUUGGAGAAGAAAGUAAAAAACUGAGAAAAUUGUAUUACAUGUUUCUUUGAUUACAAGGUAAAGAAGAUUUAAAGGAAAAAUCUUGCUAAUAGAGUUGGGCCUAAGGAGUACAAUAAAGAGAACGUAAUGGGCCCAUACCAAAAAAUCUGUUAUAACAAAAAUUAAACAAAAACUGUUAAUAUUAAAUAACAAAAACUAAUACUGUUAUCACCCCCCAUCAAGUUGGGAAUAGAUGUUUUUCAUUCCCAGCUUGCAUACAAGCUCUUUGAAGGCAGAAGGAUGGAGAGGUUUGGUGAGGAUGUCAGCUGUUUGCAUGGCAGAGGAUAUCAGAAGUAAUUUGAGAAGCCCUGCAUUGAGCUUUUCUCUGACAAUGUGACAAUCGAUUUCAAUAUGUUUGGUGUGUUCGUGAAAGACUUGGUUAGAUGCAAUCUGUAUAGCAGAUUGGCUAUCACAAUAUAAGGUUGUAGGAGUGAUGAAAGGGACGUGCAGGUCUUGAAGAAGAAAGGUUAGCCACUUGAGUUCACAGGUAGUGGCAACAAGGGCUCUAUAUUCUGCUUCAAAAGAGAUUUUUGAUAUGGUUUGUUGCUUUUUGGAUUUCCAUGAUAUGAGGGAUUCACCCAAAAAAACAGAAAAGCCAAUGACUGGUUUUCUUGAAUCAAGACAUGUAGCCCAAUCUGAAUCACUAUAAGCCUUUAAAUGCAUGGAGCUAUUGCUGAAUAAAAAAAUACCAGAUCCAGGAUACCUUUAAGGUAUCGUAGAAUACAAAAGGCAGCUUGAUUAUGGUUGCUAGUGGAUGCAGAAACAAAUUGGCUUAGAUUGUGAACACUGAAAGCAAUGUCAGGCCUGGUGUUGGUUAGAUAAAUCAAACGUUCAAUAAGUCUGCGAUAAGCCGAGGCUUCUUCAUCAAUCAGUGAAGUUCCUUCAGUGAUGGAAAGCUGAGAUGAAUGUGCCAUGGGAGUGGGCAUAUGGGCACAAUCCUGCAUGCCUGUUUCAUGUAGGAGAUCAAUGGUGUAUUUUAUUUGACUGAGGUGUAUGCCAGAGCUGUUGCGGGCUACUUUAAGACUUAAGAAAUAAGUGAGAGCGCCUAGAUUAUUGAUCUUAAAAUGUUGGUCCAACAUGUUGGUAAUAUGAAGAAUUUCAGCUUUGUCAUUGCCAGUCAACACAAUAUCAUCCACAUAGACAAGUAAUGUAGUUGUAUUAGAACCAGAAUGUUUUAAAAAUAAGGAGUGGUCUGCAUUAGAUACAAUGUAUUUAUUUGAAAUUAAGAAGGAUGAUAGCUUUGCAUACCAUUGUCUCCCAAUCUGACGAAGCCUAUAGAGAGACCUUUGAAGUUUUAAAACACUGUUGGAGUGGGGAAUAACAAGACUAGGAGGUGGUUUCAUACAAACUUCUUUAAUCAAUUCACCAUGUAAGAAAGAAUUGUUGACGUCAAGUUGAGUGAGGGUCCAGUUAUUGGCGGCAACAAUUGCUACGAACAGCCGAAGAGUGGUUAAUUUGGCAACAUGGGCAUAGGUAUCUAGAAAGUUAAGGCCUUCUAAUUGGGUAUAACCUUUUGCUACUAGGCGAGCUUUAUAUCUAUCUAUGGUUCCAUCAUACCUAUGUUUGAUCUUAUAAAUCCAGCGACAACCAAUGACGGUUUUGCUAGGGGGUAGAGAUGUCAUGAUCCAUGUGUUGUUAGUGGCUAGAGCAUCUAGUUCAUCUUUCAUGGCUUGCUGCCAACAACUGUGCUUAGAGGCCUCAGUGUAAUUACGUGGUUCCAUGUGAUAUGAAAUAAAAGAAAUAGUGUGUUUAAAGUUGGGUGAUAAGGAGUGAUAUGAAAUGAAAUUACAAAGAGGAUAUUUAGUACUUACAUUGUUUGUGAGCGGUAACUCAGUGUGAAAAUCUUCUAGGUAUGUAGAAGGUCAUCGUGGACAUGUGGAGCGUCUUGGAUGUGCAUCCAGAACAACUUCAGGAGGAUGAGGUGCAUCCAGAACAACUUCAGGAGGAUGAGGUGUCAGAGUCUCAAGAGGAGCGGGAUCAAAAGAAAAAUCAGAGUUGGAAUCAUAGUUAGAGGGAACGAAUAGAGAUAAAUCAUUGGGAUUUUUCUAGGUGCAGUGUUCAUUUUAUAUGGAAAAUGAUCUUCAUGAAAGACAAUGUGUUUCAAUACUUCAAUAUUAUGGUUAAUGAGAUUUAGAAAAAGAUAACCCUUAGUGUUGGGUUGAAAGCCAAGAAAAAUACCAUGAACAAAAUGUGCAUCAAGUUUCUUUCUAUGGGCAAUAAGAUUAUUGGAGUAACACAAGCAUCCAAAAACACGUAAGCAAGAGAGAUAAAAAAGCUUUCCAUUAAUUUUUUCAUAGGCUGAAGUGUUGCGUAAAAAGGGAGUGGGAAUGCAAUUAAUAAGGAGGGCAACGUGUUGUACAACAAAAUCCCAAAAAAGAGGGGGGCAAGUUAGCUUGAAAAAGCAAGGCACAGGUUACAUUAAAGAGGUGUUGGUGUUUUCUUUCAACUAUGCCAUUUUGUUUAGGAGUUUCAACACAAGUAGUUUGAUGAAUAAUGCCUUUAGAUGAGAAAAAAUCUUUCAUAGCAAAUUCAGCACCAUUAUCAGUUCUAAUAAUUUGAACAGUAGUUUGAAAUUGAUUUUCAGCAUAGGCAAUGAAUUUAAGAAUGUGAUUAUGAACUUCAAAUUUAUUAUGCAAGAGAAUGACCCAAGUAUAGCGAGAGAAGUCAUCAACAAUAGUUAGAAAAUAUCUAAAACCACGCAUAGAAACAAUAGAACAUGGUCCCCAAAUGUCCAUGUGAAGUAAUUCAAAACUUUUAACAAUGACAGAUUUACUUAAAGCAAAAGAAAGUUUCUUUUGUUUUGCACGGUGGCAAGCGUCACAUACAUGCAUUUUUUCAGCAUAAAUGCAUGGGUAUUUAUUUUUCAAAACAUUCAAUCUCUCAUCAGAUAGGUGGCCCAGUCUGUAAUGCCACAAUUUAAUGUUUUCAACAACACAAUUGAAAGAAGAAACAACAUAAGAAGCUUUAGCAUCAACUAAACCAAUCCUCUAUUUGGUUUGAUUGUCUUAUAUCAAAUAAUAGGUAGAAGAAAAGAUUAAACUGCAGUUUAGGGUGAGACUGAGUUUUGAAGCAAAUAUGAGGUUAAAAGCAAAUUGAGGAACAUAUAAAACAUCAGUAAGAUGCAGUUUGUCAUUGAAAAUAAUGGUUCCAAAAAAUUAGGAAAAAACAUGAUGACCAUUAGGUAUGCUGAUUUGAAUGGGUUUAAUGCUCUUAUGAGAAGAAUAUUCAGAUAGAGAUAUGCAUACAUGGUCAGUGGCCCCUGAGUAUAUAAGCCAAUAGUUUUUAGCAUUUUGUAAUCAUUUAAAGCGUACAUAUUACUAGUUGGAGUCUGUUCAACAACUUUGUGUGAGGAAUUCACAAUGAAGGAUCCCACUUGAUUCACUAGCGCUUGGCUGGUAGUGGCUCCAUUAGCAUGUUGCUUGAGAAUGUCAACCAAGGCCUGAUACUACUGCAUAGAGAGGUGAAAAACACAAUUUUCCUGUUCUUUCUUGGCAUGCUCAGGAAAAACAUCAUUAGAUAUUACAACAUUAGCAACACUAGUUUUAUGAAGCUUAUACUCGGGGGCGGGGGGGGGGGGGGGGGGUAUGACCUGCCCUAUUACAGUGGGUACACAGUUUCUUGUUGUUGUUACUGCCAUAUUUUUAAACUUUUUUUUCUUGAUUAGGAAAACCAAUUUUGCGGAAGCAAGCAUUUUCGGUAUAACCAUUCUUACCACAAAAAGAGAAAAUAGCAGGGAUACUCCAAUUGGAAUUAACACUAUUAACACUAGUGGUCAGAAAAUUGCUGGCUAAUUGGCACUCUUGUUGAGCCACAAGAGAAAAAAAAUUGGUUAUGGGAGGCAUGGGUUCCAUAAGAAGAACAUGGGAUCUUAUAUUUUGAUAUUGAUCAUUCAGUCCAUGCACGAACUGCAUAGCCUGAUCUUCACACCUUCUUUGAUUAAUAACAGAUAAAACGGAACAUGAACAUUUGGUUGCACAGACACAUAUAGGAUUAGGCCUAAAAUUUUCCAAUUCAUCCCAAACAAUUCUGAGUUUAGUGAAAAAUUCAGUAAUAGAUAAAUCCCCUUGUUUUAAAGAAGCAACUGUUGAUCAAGAGUGAUCAAGUGCUUUGAAGAAUCCAAAUCCUAUGUGUUUGAUGAAAGGUUGGUGUUGCUGCUGUGUUUGGGUGGGAUCUGGGUAGUUUAAUUUGUAAUCCACUCAAGAUGUGAUUCCACUAGCCAUAUAGAGAAUGAUUCUUGACAUUCUUAGGAAUCACCUUGAGCUGGACAUUAUAGAGGCACUUUUCUUAGAGUUGGAUCAUUGUUCUAAGACAAGAACUCACCAAAAACUAGUACCAAAUCCCAAACUCAUUUGGAUGCUCCACAUAUUGUCAAAUUGAAUCAACAAAGAGAGGUAAAAUUGAAAGGACCGAACAGAAUUGAAUAAGCAAACAUAUGAACCGAACAAAAGUGAAAUUAAAAGACAAGAACAAAAUAUAGGUGCUGGAAAAACAGAAAAACCGAACCAAACAACUCAAGAACACAAGACAACAUGAACAAUUGAAAGAGAAGAAAGGAAGGAGAAGAGAAUGCUCAUGAAGAUGGAAGAAUGUUGGAUGAUCUCGCCACUAGAAGUGUGGAAUGCUCUUAGAUGAGAGUGAUGCCGCCACUUGAGGACUCCAAUGAUCCAUCAAGAUAAGACUAGAGAAGAAGGCUCCAAAAGCUCUCCAAAGUUCACUCAAAAUUUGAGUAGAGUUUUCUUAGAUUAAUUCCAAUCUGAAUUUUACAAAGGAAGCACCUCUAUUUAUAGCCUAAGGUGCUGAAAAAUAGGUGGGAAAUUUCAAAUAAACUCAUUUGAAAUUCCCACCAAAAACAAGUCACAUGGGAGGUGUGACCUUUUUCUACUAUGACACCUCCCAAAAACUACACCUACACCACUUUCCUAAGUCACAUGGACAAUGUGACUUUAUUUUUCAUUUUCACACACCUUUAUUUAAUAACCACACCUCCUAAAACUAUACAAGAGUAUUUCAAAGCUUGGCCUUGCCCCUCAUGGGAUGGACUUGGGCUCUUUGGGCUUUGGCCUUCUUGGGCUUGGGCUUGGGCUUUGGGCUUGGGCCUCAUCUUUAUUUUAUGUCUUCUUUUAAUUUUGAGAAGACUAGAAGGAAGAACUUCAAAUGUGAGGGUGGAUGUCCUCUUCCUCCAUUAAUAAAAGCCUCCUUUAUUUGAUUCUCAUCACAUGACAAGUUGCUCUAGGCACUACUUCACACAAAAAAUUGUUUUUGUAGAUGCUUAUAGAUAACUUGACAUUCUCUUGGGGAUAUCCUAGCACAUUUGAGAAAUAGUCUUUAUCUAUGCAAGCUUCUUUUAGAGACUCUUCUUUUUUUAUUAUGCUUGCAAGUGUUCCUUUACAAGAGGGAAGGCUAGGUUGUUCAACAAGAAGCAUGUUUUCAAGGGUAUUUUCAAUGUGCUUGUCUUAUUGAAUGACCUUGUGGGAAGGAACACUCUUCUCCUACGCCUUUUGUUUCCCAAAAGUUUUCUCUUUUUCUAUUUUCUCUUCAUCCCUUUUAUGUUUCAUUUGUAUUUGGUCUUUUACCACUUGGGAAUGUGGUAAAGGGCUAAGUACAAACUUUUUGUGCUUGUGGAUGAAGAAAAUCUCGUUAGUUAGACCAUCAUGCAAGGUUUUCUUAUCAAAUUACCAUGGUCUACCUAAUAAGAUGUGGCAAGCUNNNNNNNNNNNNNNNNNNNNNNNNNNNNNNNNNNNNNNNNNNNNNNNNNNNNNNNNNNNNNNNNNNNNNNNNNNNNNNNNNNNNNNNNNNNNNNNNNNNNNNNNNNNNNNNNNNNNNNNNNNNNNNNNNNNNNNNNNNNNNNNNNNNNNNNNNNNNNNNNNNNNNNNNNNNNNNNNNNNNNNNNNNNNNNNNNNNNNNNNNNNNNNNNNNNNNNNNNNNNNNNNNNNNNNNNNNNNNNNNNNNNNNNNNNNNNNNNNNNNNNNNNNNNNNNNNNNAUAGUGGAGACUUCUUCUACCGGAUCCAGAUGAUAUCUUAUAUGCCACAACUUCAACAAGUGUUCCUUCCUAGAAGGAGGAACAAACCUCGCGCGCAUACACUCUUUCAAAGCAUUCCAAGAAACCACGGGAGGUUUCUUGCGAUAUAUAAUGUCCAUUACAAUUUUAUGCCACCAUUCUUUGGCAUAGCCCAAAAAGGAUAAAGAAACUAAUCUAAGUUUUUGGUCAUCUUGGACCUUAUACACAUGAAAAUAAUGGUCAACCUUAGUCUCCCAUUCUAAAUACACAUUAGGAUCACUAUCACCAUUAAAACUAGGGACUUUUUUACAAGCAAUGUUGAACACUUGGUGAUAUCUUUGGUCACGGUUAUAGCUCUCUUCAUGAGAAUGAUAGUGAUGCCUCCUUCUUCUAUGUUCUUCUUCACCAAGGACUGAAGCUUUGGAAGGAGAAUGCUGUUUGUAAGAUGCACCACUUGAAUAGCCAGCCAUUUUGCAAAUAAAAAACAGCAAACGCACAAAAACAGCAAACAAGUUAAGAAACAAAAUUAGCAAAAACAGUGAGCUUGGCAAUGAAACUGCCAAAGUGAAAUGAGGUAGAAAAAAGAGAUCACUCUCAAAGAAAUAAUGUUCUUGCACCAAUCUGAUCUUGAGGCCUUGGAAUCCUCAAAUGAAAUAUGUCAAAGCAAGCACACCAAUCUCAAAAGCAACCACCACAAAACCAAUGAAACAAUAAAGACAAACAAGAAAAUGUAUAAGCAAGGAAAGGUAAUUGCAAAAGGAAUACUAUAUGUAAGACAAACUCAAAGAGUAAGAAUGAAAGACAAUCAAGAAAAUAAAGAACUCAAUGAGAAAAGUAGGCACACAAAAGAAUACUUAAGGAAAAGCACUAGAGUAGAUGAAGAAAACAAAAAAUUAGCUACUGGAAUUUUUUUUUUUAAAUGCAAACUGUGCUUGAUAUUCACUGAUUUAACUGGAAUGAUGUAGAGCGAACUGGAUUAUGAAAUUUAAACCACAGAAACUUCAAGAUGUUAACUCAAUAAUGGCACUGGAGUCAAUUAAAAACAGUAAGCCAAUUGAGAGAAAUAAAUUUUUCAAAAUCGCUGCCAGAUUACCGUAUUUUUUUCGGCAGAAUUGUACACUUUUUUUAUUUUAUUUAUCAUUUUUUGUGUACUUCGUAUUUUUGAAUGAUUCUUUUUUAUAUUCUUUUCUAACACUUUGAAUAUUUCAAAUCCAGAAUUUCAGAAUUUUACAGUAAGUAAAUCAAUUGCAAUAAGGAAAAACAGUAAGCAUUUUUUUUUCAGAAACAGAGGAAUCCUAAUAGGAAUAAAAAAACAGGAUGAUGAACUAGCAAAGACAUAAUAGANNNNNNNNNNNNNNNNNNNNNNNNNNNNNNNNNNNNNNNNNNNNNNNNNNNNNNNNNNNNNNNNNNNNNNNNNNNNNNNNNNNNNNNNNNNNNNNNNNNNUAGCCUAAGGUGACUGAAAAAAUAGGUGGGAAAUUUCAAAUAACUCAUUGAAAUUCCCACAAAAACAGUCACAUGGGAGGUGUGACCUUUUUCUACUAUGACACCUCCCAAAAACUACACCUACACCACUCUCCUAAGUCACAUGGACAAUGUGACUUUAUUUUACAUUUUCACACACCUUUAUUUAAUAACCACACCUCCUAAAACUAUACAAGAGUAUUUCAAAGCUUGGCCUUGCCCCUCAUGGGAUGGACUUGGGCUCUUUGGGCUUUGGCCUUCUUGGGCUUGGGCUUGGGCUUUGGGCUUGGGCCUCAUCUUUAUUUUAUGUCUUCUUUUAAUUUUGAGAAGACUAGAAGGAAGAACUUCAAAUGUGAGGGUGGAUGUCCUCUUCCUCCAUUAAUAAAAGCCUCCUUUAUUUGAUUCUCAUCACCUUUGUUGAAUCUAAAGCUAAUGUGUUUUAAAUCCUUUUUGAAAUAAAGUGUUUUUACAACUAAGUGAAAAACAACCUGUUGUUUUAUCGAAUCAAUUGGUUGUUUUACUCUUAGAAGUUUUUUGAAAAGGUUGAAAACUGUUUAAGUUUGGUUGACUUAACUGCUAAACCAAACAAUCGGUUGUUUCGUGGUUUCAACCGAUUGUUUCUUUGAAAAUCCUAACAGAAUUUUGUUUUGGUGGUUGAAUGUGCUUUAAAUGAUUUCCAACUGAAUACACUCCUUCAUUAAUUGCUUUGACCAAUCUUUGGAAAGUAUAAAUGGUUUGUUUAUGUUUUCAAACAAACGAGAGAAAUAAAUUUGAGUUUUUCAAUUGUGAAAAAGUUGAUUUCAAGAUUUGAACAUUCACAUCAUGGUUUGGGUUUUCUAAGAGAGUGGAAUAGGAUUGCAAUUGUAUUGAUUUCAGAUUAUUCUGUAAACAAGUGUAAUCCCUUCUCAAUAUACUAUAUUUCUGGUAUUGUGUUGCCAAUGAGUGUUGUGUGCUCUUGAGGUGGUCAAGAUCAAUACUCUUGGUGUGUGUUUUUCCAAAGGGAGUGUGUUUCUUGAAGGGUUCAAGGUCACUACUUUGGUGGUUUGUGUGUUGUAAUCUGGUUUGAUUACUUAGUGGAUUACCCAGUGGUUUUCUGGGGACUGGAUGUAGCUCUUAGAUUAAGAGUGAACCCAUAUAAACUGUUGGUGUAUCUCUCUCUUACCCUCAAACUCAUUUAAAUUCUGUUUUAAGUUUUACUGAUAUAAACAACCGAUUGUUUUUCUGUUGCUUUGCUGUUUUAUUGCUUUUGUUCUUGGCUAACCUGAUUCCUGUUCUGGAUUCAUACAAAGAAUUUUGUUAAACUUUAAAAAGAUUUCAAAAACCUCUCUUAAACAAUUCACGCCCCUCUCGUUUAAGGCCAUAUAUUCUAACAAUUGGCAUCAAAAGCUUGGUACUUGAAAAAUAUUCAAGUUUGACCCUAAAACCUUUUUCUAUGGCUGAAAAACUACCUUUUGAGGAGGGUGCUUCAAUUAACAAACCACCUUUGUUUUGUGGUUUGAAUUACAAGUAUUGGAAAGCUAGAAUGAAAAUCUUUGUUGAAUCUAUUGAUCAAGGAAUUUAGGAUGCAAUUGAAAAUGGUCAUUUCAUUCCUAGAAUUGAAAAGGCUGGAUCUUUUACUAGAAAACCUUGGUCCCACUGGACUAAUGAAGAAAGUGAAAAGGCCAAAUUUUUGAUUGCAUUGCCAAGAAUAUCAUAACAUCUGCUGUAAACUCCAAUGAUUUUUCAGUAUUUCGCAUUGUGAAUCAGCUAAAGAAAUGUAGGACACUUUAGAAGUCAUUCAUGAAGGGACAAAUGAAAAUGAAGAGAAAGUGCUUAGCAUGCUGUUUAAGAAACUCAGAAAAUUCUUGAAGAAAAGGAUCAGCAAAAGAAACUCAUCCAAAAGGCUAGACAAAGAAGAGAAGAAAGGAAAAUCAAGAAAAGCUUGCAAUGAUGACUCAUCAAGCAUAUCUUCAAAGUUGAAAAAGCUAAUCUCUAUCUAAUGGCUAAAAAGGAGGAUGAUUCAAGUAGUGAAAGCAGUGUAAGUUGAUGUGAUUCCAAUAGCAAGAUAUAGAUGAUUCUUUGAUAUUUUAUGGAAUCAACUUGAGUUGGAGAUAGCUUAGGCACUUUUAAUAGAAUUGGAUCAAUGUUCUAAGUUUCAAGAACUCACCAAAACUUGCACCAAACACCAAACUCACAUGGAAGACCCAUUUCUUGCCAAUUGAACCGAUUAAAAGAUGUAAAAAUGCAAAUGAACCGAUUAAAUUGCUUAACAAAUGAAAUGAACCGAUUAAAAUGCUUCAAAACUGAAAUGCACCGAACAAAUCCAAGGAGAAAGAAGAUGAACCGAUUGAAACAUGAAAAUAAGCAAUAACACCGAAUAGAAAGCAAGAAAGGAACCUAAGACAUGUUUAGGAAUUCAAAUAGGCACGGAAAUGGAAUGAGAAGAUGGAGAAGAAAGAGGACUUAUGUGGUUGUAGUUCUUGGUUGAUGAACACGCCACUUGAAGUGUGAAUGCUCCAAGAUAAGUGUGCAAUGCCGCCACUUGAGAGAACCAAGGCACUCAAGAUGAGACUAGGAAGAGGAGAAAUCAAAUCUCACUCACUCAAUCACCAAAUUGGGAGAGUUUCUUUACUACAAAUUCCAAAUCUGCAUUAUGAAGGACCUAAGCCCUCCUUUUAUAGGAGCAAGGGCUGGUCAUGAAGCUUACAAAACAAGCUAACCAAAAGUCCCUUGCAUGCUACUCACUUCUAGCACCUAAAGUGAAGCAUGAAGAGUCACCUUCUAGAAAAUUCUAAACUAAUGCCUAAAGAUGCUUUUACAGAAGAGGUAUCUAAGGUUUCCCUCUAAGCACCUUUCCUAAAAACUAUGUAUUUAAACAUUCUAUAUUAUUUACAAAUUUAUAAAAGAAACUAUAAAGAGAGAUAUUUAAAUGAAGCCUAUUCUUGAAAGCUUGUAGACUUCUUUGGCUUUAUGGCUUGAUCCUCUCUUUAUUUUAUGUCUUCUUUUUAAUUUUGAAAAGACUAGAAGGAAGAACUUCAAAUGUGUAGGUGAAUGACCUCUCCCUUCAUUAAUAAAAGCCUCCUUUAUUUGAUUCUCAUCAUAAGUUCUAGUGCCUCCUUAAAUGCUGAAAACUAUAGUCAAUUGCUUCAAGCUUUUAAAGAAACUCAUGAAGAAGUUAACCGAUUGGCUCUCUUGAACAAUUGUUUGAAAGGUAUGAACAAAUGGCUUGAAAACAGAGUCAAAGCACUGGAAGAAGAAUUGCAAAAUUCAAAAACAGAUUUUGGAAACCUUGAAAUGCUCUACAAAAAUUCUUCUUGCAAGUGUGACUCUCUUGUUUGUGAAAAUUGUGAAUCUCUUGAAAAGAAGGUUCACUACCUUGUGAAAACUAUGGAUAAGCUUUCAAAAAGCAAAUCCAACUUUGAGAGUGUCUUAGCAUCUCAAAAUUGUGUUUUUGGAAAAGCUGGAUUGAGUUUUAAUCCAGAAAACAAGUUUUCAAACUCCUUUUCAAAAGUGCCAGAAAAACAACCGAUUGUUAAAUCGAAAAAACCGGUUGUUAUAUGUUUUUACUGCAUGAAGAGAUACCACUUAGUUAGAUUUUGUAAAAUUACGAAAUAUUAUGUUCCUAAAGGCUUUAUGAGAUGGAUUCCCAAAAAUUCUGAAGUUCCCAGUGAUGAAAGUAAUUCAAGAGGACCCACAUUUGUAAGGGGACCAAAUCUUUACACUUGAACUUGAAUUUUGUAGGGAAAAUUGAUGGAAAGCAUGCAACAGUGGUAUCUGGACAGUGGCUGCUCAAAACACAUGACAGGAGAUAAAUCAAGUUUGUGAACAUCAUCUUCAAACAAGAAGGCCAUGUAACAUAUGGAGACAACAACAAAGGAAGAAUUCUUGGAAGAGGCUCUAUAGGAGACAAGAGUAUCUUGCGAAUUCAUGAUGUCUUGUAUGUGGAGGGACUAAAACACAACUUGCUUAGCAUUAGCCAACUGUGUGACAAAGGCUAUCAAGUCAUUUUCAAGACAAACUCUUGUGAAAUCUGUCUGCCCAAAUCAAAAGAGGUAAUGUUGAUUGGUAAGAGAAUCAACAAUGUCUAUCUCUUAGAUAUUUCUUCUCCUUGUUCUAUUGGUUGUCUUCUUUCUAAGCAUGCUGAAUCUUGGUUAUGACAUAGAAGAAUAGCUCACAUUCACAUGAAUCAUUUAAACAAAUUAAUCUCAAAAGAUCUUGUGAUUAGUUUGCCCAAGCUUAAGUUUGAGAAGGACCACAUAUGUGAAGCAUGUCAAAAUGGGAAACAAGUUAAAAAUUCCUUCAAACUUAAAAAUGUUGUUUCAUCUUCAAGACCCCUUGAGUUGCUUCACAUGGAUUUUUUUGGCCCUUCAAGAACCAUGAGUCUUGGUCGCAACUAUUAUGCUUUUGUUAUUGUGGAUGAUUUUUCUAGGUACACAUGGACACUCUUCUUGGAAUCAAAGAGUGAUGCUUUCUCGGCUUUCAAGAAGCUUGCAAGAACCUUGCAAAACACAAGGGACAACAAUAUUGGCUCAAUAAGAAGUGAUCAUGGAGGGGAAUUCCAAAAUGAGAAAUUCAGCAAAUUUUGUGAGAAGACAGGGAUUUUGCACAAUUUUUCUGCACCAAGAACCCGUCAACAUAAUGGCGUAGUAGAAAGAAAGAACAGAUCUCUAGAGGAAUUAGCAAAAACCAUGCUAAGUGAAUCCUCCCUACCCAAGUACUUUUGGGCUGAUGUUGUUAGCACCUUUUGCUAUGUGAUGAAUAUAAUGCUGAUAAGGUCAAUCUUGAAGAAAACACCAUAUGAACUCUUCAAUGGAAGGAAGCCAAACAUUAGUCACCUAAGAGUUUUGGAUGUAGCUGUUUUGUUAUGAAUAAGGGGAAAGAAAAUUUGGGAAAGUUUGAUGAAAAAGCAGACAAUGGCAUUUUCAUUGGAUAUCCAUCAAACAGUCAUGCUUAUAGAGUCUACAACAAGAGGCUCAUGAUUGUAGAAGAAUCUGUUCAUGUGGUAUUUGAUGAAGUUGAUCAAAAAGUCUUAAAUCCCUCAUAGAUCAACACUGAAGGGGAUGAACAAAACAUCAUUAUACAGAAACUGGAUUGUUGUCCAGAAAACAACUGAUUGAUUCAUCGAAACAACCGGUUGAAAUUCUGCAGCUGAAUGAGUUGCCUAAAGAAUGGAGAAUACCAAGGGAUCUGUCAGUGGAGAACAUCAUUGGGCAAAUAAAGGAGGGUGUUUCUACACGUAGCUCUAUCUCAAACUUCUGCAGGCACACUGCUUUUGUCUUUCAAGUUGAACCAAAGUCUAUUGAAGAAGCUCUUAAAGAUGAAAAAUAGAUGGAUGCAAUGCAUGAAGAGCUGAAUCAGUUUGCUAGGAAUGAUGUGUGGUUUCUUGUCUCCAAGACAGAUGAGAUGAACAUCAUUGGAUCUAAAUGGGUAUUCAGAAACAAGCUAGAUGAGGUUGGAGUGAUUACUAGAAACAAGGCAUGGCUAGUUGCCAAAGGCUACAAUCAAGAAGAAGGCAUUGACUAUGGUGAAACCUUUGCUCCUGUUGCAAGAUUGGAAGUGGUGAGGCUGCUGUUGGCCUUUGCUUGUAUGAGUGGAUUCAAACUCUUUAAAAUGGAUGUGAAGAGUGUUGAACCAAGUGUGUUCAAGCUUUGAAGAAUGCAAACCCUUUCAAGGAUGAUAUAAGGCUGGUUGUGCUUGCUGUUGCUGAGCUGUCUUUUAGAUAGGAUCUGGGGUAGAUUUUAUGUAUAAUCCACUCUUGAUUGAAUCCAAAGCAUAAGCACUCUCAAUCCUUUUAAAAGAAAAGUGUUUUUCAAACUAAGUGAAAAACAACCUGUUGUUUUGUCGAAACAACCGAUUGUUUUAUACUAAGGUGUUUUUAGAAAGGUUGAAAACUGUUUUUAUGGUUGACUUGCUGUCAAAACCAAAGCAACCGAUUGAUUCGUGGAAACAAUCGAUUGUUUGUUUUGGUACCAUAACAGAAAACUGUUUUGUGCUUUGAUUGAGCAUUAAAUGAUUUUCUAACUGAUUACGCUCCAGUUUUUAAUGCUUUGACCAAUCUUUAAAUGCAAUGAAUAGUUUGUUAAGAUUUGAUAACAAACAACAACUUUUGAUUAAAUACAGAAAAAAAGAUUUGUGUUUUUCAAGAGAUUGAGAUUUUGAAAAGUUGAGAUUGCUUAGAGAUUGAGUUUGAUCAAAGAGUGUGAGAUAGAAUUUUUCAUCUUGUAUUGAUUUCAGAUUAGUUCUAUAACAAGUGUAAUCCUGUAUACUUUUGAAAGAAACUUUCUGUGUGUUGCUGAGAAGUGUUGUGUGUUCUUGGGGGGAUUAAGAUCAACAUUCUUAGUGUUGUUGUGCUGGACCAAAGGAAGUGUGUGUCUUGAGGGAAUCAAGGUCACUUCUUUGGUUGUAAAUGAUCUAGGGUUGAUUGCUUAAUGGAUUUCCUCAGUGGUUUAUGAGAAGACUGGAUGUAGCUCUGGGUUUAGAGUGAACCAGUAUAAACCUCUGUGUGCAUUCUCUCUAUCCUUAAUCUCUUUAAAUUCAGUUUUGAUAUUUGCAAAUUGGUAUAAACAACCGAUUGUUUCUGCGAAACAACCGAUUGUUUUUCUGGUGCUUUGUGAAAAUCUUUGUGGAAUCACUUGAUAAAGGUAUUUGGGAUGCAAUUGAAAAUGGUCCUUUUGUCCCAAAAUUUGAAAAAGAUGGAUCUUCCAUUGAAAAACCUUGGUCUCAAUGGACUGAUUCUGAAAGCAAGAAGGCCAAAUUUGAUUGCAUUGCUAAAAACAUAAUAACCUCUGCUUUGAAUUCAGAUGAGUUUUUUAGGGUCUCUCAAUGCAAAUCAGCAAAGUAAAUGUGGGACACCUUGGAGGUAACUCAUGAAGGUACAAAUGAGGUGAAGAGAGCUAAGAAGCAUACUCUAAUCCAAGAGUAUGAGAUGUUCAGAAUGCUCAAAGGUGAAACAAUUGCUGAAGUGCAGAAAAGAUUCACGCACAUCAUCAAUCAUCUCAUGAGCCUUGACAAGACCUUUGAAAAGGAAGAGCUAAACAUCAAGAUCUUAAAAUGUCUUGAUAGAGCAUGACAACCUAAGGUAACUGCUAUAUCCGAAUCUAAAGAUCUAACAUCCUUGAGUAUGGCUUCUUUGUUUGGAAAGCUUAGGAAACAUGAGUUAGAGAUGAAUCGACUCAAUGUUCAAGAAAGCAAAGACAAACACGUAAGGAGUAUAACCUUAAAAGCUGUCAAGCACAAAGGCAAACAAGAAUCCAGUGAUGAUAGUGAUGAAGAAAACCUUAGCUUGCUAUCCAUAAAAUUUAGCAAAUUGUUGAAAAGGAAUCACAACAAGGAUUGCCCAAAUAAGGGCACAUAAAGGCAGAUUGCCCAAACAAAAGCAAGGAGAAAAAGCCUAGCUACAAGGAAAAGAAGGGCAAAACAAAAAGAGCCUACAUAGCUUGGGAUGAAAAUGAGGUAUCAUCAUCAAGUUCAUCAUCAAGUGAAGAAGAAAGAGCAAACAUCUGUUUGAUUGCUGAAGAAGAUGAUGAAUCUUGCAGCUCAAGUGAAGUAAGUUCUUGUGCCUUUUUAAAAGAACAAAAUUAUAGUGAAUUGCUUGAAGCUUUUCAAGAAACUCACGAUGAAGCUAAUCGAUUGGUUUUUUCAAACAACCGAUUGAAAGAACUUAACAACUAGCUGGAAAAGAGAGUGAAGCCACUUGAAGAAGAGCUUGAAAAAUCUAAAAAGGAUUUUAAAAACCUUGAAACACAUUUCAAAAAUUCUUCUUGCAAGUGUGACACUCUCAUUUGUGAAAAUUGUGAAAACCUUGAGAAGAAAGUGCAUUAUCUUGUAAGUACUGUGGAUAAGCUUUCAAAAGGAAAAUCUAACUUUGAGAAUGUCUUGGCAUCUCAAAACUGUGUUUUUGGAAGGGCUGGUUUAGGCUUUAAUCCACAAAACAAACAAGAUAAGUUUUCAAAAACUUUUUCAAGAAAGCCAGAAAAACAACCGAUUGUUAAGUCGAAACAACCGGUUGUUACAUGCUUUUACUGCAUGAAAAAGGGCCAUUCGGUUAGAUUCUGCAAAAUAAGGAAAUUUUCUGUUCCCAGGGGCUUCAUGAAGUGGAUUCCUAAAGGAUGUGAGGUUCCAAAUGAUAAAAAGAAAUCAAAUGGACCCACAUUUGUGAAGGGACCAAAUCUUGUGGCUUGAACUCAUGUUUAUGCAGGAAAUCUAAAGAAGUGUGAGGAACUGUGUCAUCUGAUCAAGUUCUUGGAAGAAAAGGACUAACUUUGAAGCUGAAUCAAUGUUCUGCACCUGUCCAAAGGCUCUCAACAGUUAAAUGAGACUUCUUGAUCACAAAGCACAUGACUCAUUGGACAAACAUCAUAAAGGAUAAGACCUUCCUUAUCUAUAUCUUUAAUUUCUGUUUAAAGUUCAGAUUCAUGCUUAAACAUCUCUUUUAAAAUGGUCAAUUUCAUCUGCUUUGAAGUCUUUCUGCUCAUGUUUAAAAAUUUAAAAUCAGUUUUACUACUGUAGAAAAACAACCGAUUGUUUCCUCGAAACAACCGAUUGUUUUGUGUCUGACCGCACUGUGAAGAAAUCAAUUUAAUUUCUAUCCAUUGCAUAUCAAAUUAAAGAAAGAAUCCUUGGUCAAUGAACCUGUGUUGAAAGCUAAUCACGCUAAAAAAGAAGUUACAAUAGUGAUAAAAGAAUAUAUUCCAAAAUCUUGAAAAUUUGAGAGCUUUUAUGACUAGUCAAAGAUCACAUGUGAUGACCAUGUGAUUUUCUGCUUUUUCUGACGUUUUCUGUGCAGGGCUUUCAAGUCCUUUCUCUCUGAAAAUCUGGUACCCACUCAUGUCAUUGAAUGCUUUAUGAUUAUGUUUUUGCUAUAAAAUUUGUUGCAGUUGAUCUCUUUCACAAGAACAAACAAUUGCAACAUCUCUUGCAAUUCUUGUGUGAGCUUUUCUCUGCUUCUUCUCUGCCAUCAUGGAAUCAACUCCUCCCACCUCAAAGAGAGUUAAAACCAAAGCAGUAAGGUCUGGAGGAAGGCUAGAAGGAUGGUUUUCUGGUGAUAAUGAUCUUAUUGAAAGGUAUAGGUUUUAGACUAGCACCAAAGUGAUAAACAACCCCAAAGUUGUUUGCUUUGAUUGGCUGAAAAGCUAAAAGCUAGAUAAUGUAAGAAGGCUGCUCAAAGAUCAAUCUCUCAGAAAGUUCUUGGAGAUGAAGGGGAACAUCUACCCAGAUUUGAUUAGAGUGUUCUACACAAAUCUUAAAUUUGAGGGUAACAACGUUGUCUCUCAUGUGAAAGGUGUAGAUAUGGAGAUCACCUAUGAUGUGUGGAAUGCAGUGGCGGGUCUAAAGUAUUCUGGCCUCAUAAUGAACAAGGGGAACCUUGGUGUAGUGGAGGAUUUCAACAAAGUCCAAUACUACAAAAGCUGUUUGAAGAAUCAAAAUGCUCAAGUUAGGACUUGUUCGGUUGGUGGCUUGAGACUUGAUGAAAGCUUGCUGGCCCUUAUUGUGACUUGGAUUCUAACUCCAAGGGGGAGCAAUCAUUCUGUUCUUACAGAGGAGGACCUUGUGUAUAUCUACUGCAUAAUGAAGAAAAUCAGAAUAAAUUGGAUCCACAUCAUCAAAGAGUACAUGCAAAAGGCAAUGAGGUUAAGUGACUAUCACUAUCCAUAUGCUGUUUUGAUUUCUAAAUUUUUGUUGUAUUUUGAAGUGAAUCUGGAAGAUAAAACAUCUGAGUUGGUGAAAUCAACUCAAGAGAUGAACAAUGGAUCUCUCAGCAAAAUGGGAUUCACCAAAAUAGGUGGCAAAUGGAUAGGCAAAGAUGGUGACCAUGGUGCUUCAUCAAGUGUUGUUGCUAAUCUUGAAGAAGAAGAACAUGCUGCUGAUAUGGAUUUUCAACAUGAAGAUCAUCCUGAAACAAAUCAAGAUGCUGGACCCAGUGCUGGUGCUGGAAAUCAGGAAGAUGGAAUGCCAACCAUGUCUUCUUUUGAGAGAUACAUGGUCAAUAGGCUUGAUGGAUUUGCGAAGAAUCAAAGAAAUCUCCAUGAUCUGUGUGUAAGCAACUUCCAGAGCAUUGAUAACAGGUUUAACAACAUGGAUUCUCGCUUCAUGACGUUAGAUGAAUAAAUUGAAGCUGUCCAAAAUCAUAUUUUUAUCUACAAUAUGCUGAUGAUGAAUGAAGAAGGAAAAACAACGGGUUGAUAUCUCAGAACAACCGAUUGUUUUUAGGGCUUGUAUCAAUUUUUUUUUCUGCUUCUGCUCUUUAAUUCUGUUUUAUCAAGAACUUUUUUCUUUAUAUCUCUUCUUUUUGUCUAUUUGUGAAGACAAAUAGGGGGAGAUUUAUGCUGUGUGUUGUCUCAGUUUUAAAUUUAUGCAAAACAGUUUAUGGUUGUUUAAAGAAAGCCUUGUAAGUUUUUCUAUGCUCUGAUAUACUGUUUCUGUUCAAACCCUAUAUCAGAAGUGCUUUGCUUAAACUGUAUGUUGCAGGAACUGCUUCAGAUUCAAUCAAAUCCAACACAAGCACCAGGGAUUUGUCUUCAUCAAAUAGGGGGAGAUUGUUGAACCAAGUGUGUUCAAGCUUUGAAGAAUCUAAACCCUUUGAAGGAUGAUGAAAGGCUGGUUGUGCUUGUUGUUGUUGAGUUGUCUUUUAGAUAGGAUCUGGGGUAGAUUUUAUGUAUAAUCCACUCUUGAUUGAAUCCAAAGCAUAAACACUCUCAAUCCUUUUAAAAGAAAAGUGUUUUUCAAACUAAGUGAAAAACAACCUGUUGUUUUGUCGAAAAAACCGAUUGUUUUAUACUUAGGUGUUUUCCGAAAGGUUGAAAACUGUUUUUAUGGUUGACUUGCUGUCAAAUCCAAAACAACCGAUUGUUUGUUUUGGUACCAUAAUAGAAAAAUGUUUUGUGCUUUGACUGAGCAUUAAAUGAUUUUCUAACUGUUUACGCUCCAAUUUUUAAUGCUUUGACCAAUCUUUAAAUGCAAUGAAUAGUUUGUUAAGAUUUGAUAACAAACAACAACUUUGAUUAAAUACAGAAAAACAGAUUUGAGUUUUUCAAGAGAUUGAGAUUUUGAAAAGUUAAGAUUGCUUAGAGAUUGAGUUUGAUCAAAGAGUGUGAGAUAGGAUUUUUCAUCUUGUAUUGAUUUCAGAUUAGUUCUAUAACAAGUGUAAUCCUGUAUACUUUUUGAAAGAAACUUUCUGUGUGUUGCUGAGAAGUGUGGUGUGUUCUUGAGGGGAUCAAGAUCAACAAUCUUAGUGUUGUUGUGCUGGGCCAAAGGAAGUGUGCAUCUUAAGGGGAUCAAGGUCACUUCUUUGGUUGUGUUGUAAGUGAUCUAAGGUUGAUUGCUUAGUGGAUUUCCUCAGUGGUUUCUGAGAAGAUUGGAUGUAGCUUUGGGUUUAGAGUGAACCAAUAUAAACCUCUGUGUGCAUUCUCUCUAUCCUUAAUCUCUUUAAAUUCAGUUUUGAUAUUUGCAAACUGGUAUAAACAACCGAUUAUUUAUGCGAAACAACCGAUUGUUUUUCUGGUGCUGUGCUUUUUGCUUUGUGUUUUGGCAAAUUGAUUUCCUUAUCAACUGUUUCUCAAAGUAAUUUCAUUCUAGACUUAUAAGUUUGCGAAAACUUUAAACCAUUCACCCCCUUGAUGUGAUUCCAAUAGCACAAUAUGAAUGAUUCUCGACAUUCUUAGGAAUCAACUUGAGUUGGAUAUGAUGUAGGCACUUUUUUAUAGAAUUGGAUCAAGGUUCUAUGUUCAAGAACUCACCAAGACUAGUACCAAACCCAAACUCACAUGGAAGAUCCAUGUAUUGUCAAAUUGAAUAAAAAACAACAACUAGAAAUGAAGAAGAAGCAAAGAGGAUCGACAAAAGCAAAAGGAACCGAAGCAAAACAGCAAAGGAACUAAAAUACCGAACUGAAAAUGCAAGAACACAAGCUAAGACAUGAACAUAAAAGGAGAAGGAAGGAAGGAGAAGAGGAAGCUCAAGAAGAUGGAGGAAUUGGUUGGAUGAUCACGCCACUUAGAGGAUGGAGACUCCAAGAUGAGUGUGUUAUGCCGCCACUUGAGGUAACCAAGAACUCUCAAGAUAAGACUAAGUGAGGAAGGCACAAAGCUCUCCAAUUCUCUCUCAAAUUGAGUAGAGUUUCAUUAAUACAAAUUUCCAAUCUGAUUUUUACAAAGGCAAGCACCUUUAUUUAUAGCCUACGAAGUGCUGAAAAAUAGGUGGGAAAAUUCAAAUAAAACUCAUUUGAAAUUCCCACCAAAAACAAGUCACAUGGGAGGUGUGACAUUUUUCUACUAUGACACCUCCUAAAAACUACACCUACACCUACUCUCCUAAGUCACAUGGAUAAUGUGACUUUAUUUUACAUUUUCACACUUCUUUAUUUAAUAUCCACACCUCCUAAGAGUAAUUCAAAUGAUGCUCUUUUAUUUAAUGUUUGGCCUUGCCCCUCAUGGGAUGGACUUGGGCUUGUUGGGCUUUGGCCUUCUUGGGCUUGGGCUUUGGGCUUGGGCCUCAUCUUUAUUUUAUGUCUUCUUUUAAUUUUGAGAAGACUAGAAGGAAGAACUUCAAAUGUGAGGGUGGAUGUCCUCUUCCUUCAUUAAUAAAAGCCUCCUUUAUUUGAUUCUCAUCACCCCUCUAGUUUAAAGCCAUACAUUCUAACAAAGAGUGCUUUUCUCAAUGGUUUUAUCAAUGAAGAAGUGUAUGUUGAGCAACCACUGGGUUUUGAGGAUCAUCAACAUCCCAAUCAUGUUUUUAAGUUGAAAAAUGCUUUGUAUGGGCUUAAGCAAGCUCCAAGGCAGUGGUUAAACAAUCAAAGAAUGGAAUUUUCCUAUGUCAAUCAAAGUAUUGCAAAGAAAUCCUCAAGAAAUUUGAGAUGGAGAGUUGCAAGUAAACUAGCACACCUAUGCCUUCAAGCUGUUAUAUGGAUGCAGAUGCUGCUGAAAAAGGGGUAGAUCGAACAAAAUAUAGAGGUUUAAUUGGUUCUUUACUCUAUCUCACAAUAAGUAGAUCGGAUAUCAUGUUUGUCGUAUGUCUUUGUGUAAGAUAUCAAGCAAAUCCAAAGAAAUAUCACUUCAAGGCUGCAAAAAGGAUUAUGAAAUAUCUCAAAGGAACUACCAAUGUUGGUCUAUGGUAUCCUUCUUACUCACCUAUACAUUUAAUUGGAUAUCCAGAUUCUGACUUUGCAGGGUGUAAGCUAGACAGAAAAAGCACAAUUGGCACUUGCCAUCUUCUUGGAUCAAGUCUCAUUUCUUGGCAUAGUAAGAAACAAACUUGUGUAGCUCUUUCCACUGCAGAAGCUGAAUACAUUGCUGUUGGGAGCUGUUGUGCACAAAUUCUUUGGCUUAAACAGCAGCUUGCAGAUUUUUUAUUAAAGAUCAGCAAGGUUCCUUUGCUUUGUGACAACACAAGUGCUAUAAAUCUCACCAAAAAUCAUAUUCAGCACUCAAGAACAAAGCACAUUGAGAUUCGUCAUCACUUCAUAAGAGAUCAUGUGAACAAUGGAGAUUGUGAGAUGAAGUUCAUUGAAACAAAACUACAGUUUGCUGAUAUAUUUACAAAACCUUUGCCAAAAAACAGGUUUUUCUUUUUAAGAAAUGAGUUAGGCAUUAUUGACUCUCAAAAUCUCUCUUAAACUGCUCUCUAUGCAUAAAGUCUAUUUGAGAAGACAAAUAGGGGGAGAUUUGGUUUUUGUGUUUCUCUACAAACUGUUUCAAACUGUUAAAUCUCUUUAAUUUAUGUUUUUAAAGUUGAUUUUUGCUUCUGCUGAUAGAAACAACCGAUUGAAUCGAGGAAACAACCGGUUGUUUGUUUGAUACAGUGUUUGUUUUUGGCUGGUUUUUCUGCUCUAAGGUUUAUGCAGAAAACUAGUUAAUGUGCCAAUCUAACCUGCUCUUAAAGAUGCUCUGGUUUGCAUAAGUUUUGUUUUGCAGGUGCUACUUCAGAUUCAAACAAAGACCAAUACAAGCAACCAGGGAUUUGUCUUCAUGACAUAGAGGAAGAUUGUUGAUCAAGAGUGAUCAAGUGCUUUGAAGAAUCCAAAUCCUAUGUGUUUGAUAAAAGGUUGGUGUUGCUGCUGUGUUUGGGUGGGAUCUGGGUAGUUUAAUUUGUAAUCCACUCCUUUGUUGAAUCUAAAGCUAAUGUGUUUUAAAUCCUUUUUGAAAUAAAGUGUUUUUACAACUAAGUGAAAAACAACCUAUUGUUUUGUCGAAUCAAUCGAUUGUUUUACUCUUAGGAGUUUCUGAAAAGGUUGAAAACNNNNNNNNNNNNNNNNNNNNNNNNNNNNNNNNNNNNNNNNNNNNNNNNNNNNNNNNNNNNNNNNNNNNNNNNNNNNNNNNNNNNNNNNNNNNNNNNNNNNCGGUUGUUUCGUGGUUUCAACCGAUUGUUUCUUUGAAAAUCCUAACAGAAUUUUGUUUUGGUGGUUGAAUGUGCUUUAAAUGAUUUCCAACUGAAUACGCUCCUUCAUUAAUUGCUUUGACCAAUCUUUGGAAAGUAUAAAUUGUUUGUUUAUCUUUUCAAACAAACGAGAGAAAUAAAUUUGAGUUUUUCAGUUGUGAAAAAGUUGAUUUCAAGAUUUGAACAUUCACAUCAUGGUUUGGGUUUUCUAAGAGAGUGGAAUAGGAUUGCAAUUGUAUUGAUUUCAGAUUAUUCUGUAAACAAGUGUAAUCCCUUCUCAAUAUACUGUAUUUCGGGUAUUGUGUUGCCAAGGAGUGUUGUGUGCUCUUGAGGUGGUCAAGAUCAAUACUCUUGGUGUGUGUUUUUCCAAAGGGAGUGUGUUUCUUGAAGGGUUCAAGGUCACUACUUUGGUGGUUUGUGUGUUGUAAUCUGGUUUGAUUACUUAGUGGAUUACCCAGUGGUUUUCUGGGGACUGGAUGUAGCUCUUAGAUUAAGAGUGAACCCGUAUAAACUGUUGGUGUAUCUCUCUCUUACCCUCAAACUCAUUUAAAUUUUGUUUUAAGUUUUACUGGUAUAAACAACUGAUUGUUUCCCAGAAACAAUCGAUUGUUUUUCUAUUGCUUUGCUGUUUUAUUGCUUUUGUUCUUGGCUAACCUGAUUUCUAUUCUGGAUACAAAGAAUUUUGUUAAACUUUAAAAAUAUUUCAUAAACCUCUUUUAAACAAUUCACCCCUCUCUCGUUUAAGGUCAUAUAUUCUAACAGCAACUUCCAAUUGGAGGUCAGAAAUUCUAAACAAGUCCCCUUGUGAAAACCUAAUUUUCAAAUCAUUCCAAAUAUCCAAAGUGAAGUCCAUCCAAAUAAUGCUCUGUCUAAUAGGAGUGGAGACAGAAUGGACUAACCAUGAUACCACCAUAUUAUUGCAUCUCUUCCAAGCCGAGUAUGUUGGGUGAUUUUCAUCUGGACAGGGAUGCGAAGCUUGGAUGAAUUUCGCCUUGUUCUUCGCACUCAUGGCCGUCAUCACUGACCUACUCCAAGAGUGAUAGUUGGUGGAGUCCAGCAUCGGCGAGACCAACGACGCAGCUGGGUUUUCGUUGGGGUGCAGAUAGAGGUAGCUAGCUGGUUGAUUUGAUUGGCUAGAUGGAACCUGUUGCAUUGCGAAUUCUUCGGCCAUUACUGAAAAAAGAAAGGGAGAAACCCAAGAUUAGUUUCAAGAGAUUUAAACGAAAAGGAUCAAGAUGCAGAGUGCGCAGCAGAGCUCUUCAAGAGAAGAGCUCUGAUACCAUAACACAGUAGCCACUUUUAAGCUAUCUAACAAAGCAGAAGCGGUGCCCCUAGAUGAACGCAAAAUGAUCUGUGAUAGAGAAGCGUGAACCGACAAAGACACAUAAUUGACAUAGACACAACUUUGGAGAAGAAAGUAAAAAACUAAGAAAAUUGUAUUACGUGUGUCUUUGAUUACAAGGUAAAGAAGAUUUAAAGAAAAGCUCUUGCUAAUAGAGUUGGGUCUAAGGAGUACAAUAAACAAAACCUAAUGGGCCUAUAAAAAAAAAAAACUGUUAUAACAAAAAUUAAACAAAAACUGUUUUAUUAAAUAACAUAAACUAAUACUGUUAUCAGAAUUAAAGAACCAAUAAUUCUUAAAGUAUUAUUAAAACAUGUUGGUAAAGAACCAAUAAUCAAUCAUUCAUCAGGAACUUUAUUUUGUCUUCAACCUUCUCAUGCACAAGAUUUAUUGUUCCUUCAACAUGAAUCGUAUUCUCUCAUGUAGCUCUGGUUGAUUGUUUGGGAGAGAAGGGAAGAAACAACAACAAACAAAAUGUACAAGUGUGUGUGCACACGGAUCCUGUUUCUGAGGUGAGGAAAAACAUUGUGUAUAUAUAUAUGUAAGCAAACAAACAAACAUUUUGUUAUUACUAUUUUUUAUUUUCAGGUACUAUGUACAUUUUUAAAUUUUUAGAAUAAUAAAAAAUAAAAGAAACUUAAAUAUUUCUUAAAGUUUUAUACUUUUGUUAAAUUACAUAAUAAAUAUAUUUUAUCGCUAAAAUAUAAUAUCUUAUUUUUUAAACUCCCGUUUUUUAUUAUUUUUAGCACUUUAAAAUUUUCUUACUAUUUAUUAUUAUUAUUUUAAGUUAAUUAUAUUCUAAUUAUUAAUAUUUUAAAAUUAAUUAGGCAAAAUUGUGUGGAGAAAGAUGUUACUGGUUUGAGUAAUGAUUAUAAAUUUAUUAAUUACCCAGAAAAAAUGACGGUGUUUAAAAAAAGAUGUUAUUGGUUUGAGUAACAAUGAUAUGGUUUCUUUAUGAAAAAAGAUGGAUUCAAAAAAAUAUAAGUUCAUGUUCAUGUGAUCUUAUUUCUGAGAAAAGAAAGAUGGAACAUGUUACGAAGUGGACUUUGAGCCUAACUCAACCCCAUAAAACCGGCUCAUAGGGUUGAGGUUUGCACCCACUUAUAUACAAUGAAAUGCUCUAAUCUCUAGUCGAUGUGGGAUCUCCAACACAUGGACAUUGUAUUAGCAGAAUUUAUGAUCUGCUUGUUCAUAAUUAUUGUAUAUUGUAUAUAUUUUUAUAGAAAAUAAAUUGAAAAAGUGGAUUCAAUCAAGUUCUGGUCAAAGAAGUAGAUAAAAGGAAAACAACUUUCAAUAUUAAAUUUGGAGUGGAUUAGUCUUAGUCAUGUCUUUUGGAGUUUUGGUAUACUCUUGCAUCAUGUACUUAGGCUAUUUAUAGUCUCUUUUAGUAUACUUGGAUGGUAUCUUCGUAUAUAGCGUGAAUAUGAAUGAUUACGUACAUCAUACAUUAUCACAUAUAAUAAAGAAAAAAAACAUAUUUGUAUGAAUGAUAUUGUCUGUUAUUGAAUUUGUCAGCUAUUCGUAGUCUAAUCCUCUAUUAAUAAUAAUAAAUGAAUGUCUACUUGUGCUACUUCUAAAAGAAAGAUCUAAACUUUAAAAACGGGAUAAUAUUACUUAAAGAUUAAGAAUACAAUAAAAAUUUAACUAAGAACUAUAAAAUACAUAUUUCACUAUGGGGACAUUUAAACUUUGAACUAGAAUAUUGACACCCACCAUGAGAGUAGGUAAAACUUUUCCUACUCCCACGGGUGCAGAAAGGUAAAACAACGACGACUAUUCGCAUUUGAUGUACAUGUAGUCUUAAAUCGAAGAGAUAAGAAAUUCGUAAAUUCGAUUUAUAAAUGCAACUAUUUACAUAGCCGCAUUUAUAAAUCGCAUUAACGAGUGGCGUUUAAGGUUUCUUUUCUUUUUCGCAGUUGUUUGGGUUUCUAAUCAAAAAUUCUCAACUUUGAUCUUUUCUGAAGAACAUGGUCAUUAUUUUAGCAUUUAUUUUGAUCUCUUGGUGCAUUCAUAUCAUAUCUCUUCACAUUCUUACUAUUUCAUCCCAUUGAAAGUCCAGAAAACGCAAACAAAAAUUUCCCAAUGAAACGCAAAUAUACAAUGUUGCAAGGAAACAACGACGAGGAAGACACAAUAGAAAACAAACAAAAACCUUCCCAAUGAAAUAGUGACGUUAGCAAUGACAUAAGACAAAACAUAAGAGAAAUGGAAAACAUACAAAAAUCAAUGGUGAAGAAGAAAAGAGGAAGACAAUGCUUACCAAUGGCACAACGACAAUGCAAAGAAGGGAAGAAGAAAAGAGGAAGCACAAUUAAUGGGAGGAAGCACAUAAGAGAAACGAAGCGUGUGAGAAAGGAGAGUAUGAAAACGUAAGUGACGCACUUUUGAAUUAGGAUAAAAAAGAUUUUAAGAAGGCGGUUAGUUGUAAUAGCCGCAUUCUUAAAUCAAGUUAAUUUAAAAAAUGCCACCGCAUUUUGAAAGACAACAUCUGAUCGUAAAAACACAUUAAAUAAUGAAUUGUUUUAAACUUUUGUACUAGUGCCCUAUAUAAUAAUAUAUACAUUUUUUGAGAAAUAAUUGCAACAUCAUAAGCAAUUAGAGACAACAAGUUCAACCUGGAGACAAUGGCAAUGUUGCUAUCAAAUUUUGGACACUAUACACUAAAAUGUAGAGGCCAAACACAAAGUAGGAAGAAGCCCAGGACAAGAAUGACCGUAGGAAGAAGUCCAUCUUGAGCAAGAGUGGUAAAGAGAAGAGGAUCGCGUCGAGCAUGAGCAGUUGCAUGAAUAAGAGAAGAUGUCAUGCCAUUUAAUAGAGAAAGUCAUGCGAGCACAUGAGUAGUUACAAAAGGGAAAAGAAGAACUGCAACAUACCAUGAGUUGACAAAGGUCAGCCAGACAGCUGUCAAUUGAAGGUAGUGGGGUAAGGAUGGCAGGUACAUGCUCAAGCAGAUCCACAACCCUUCUCCAGGGCGAUCAUGGAAGAACAUGUACCCCCUCACUACAUGGUGCCCAAGAUCACACUAUUUCCAGGAUCAGGAGAUUUAGAGAGGCACUUAAAAGCUGCUUUCCAAGUGCAAAUGCUAAUAUCAGGUGGCUCAAAUGUUGUACGAUGCAAAUGUUGUACGGGCACCACACUCCAAUGGUUUAGUGGAAUUCCUGAUGGAGUCAUAAACUCUUUCUAGACUUUUUCCCGAAUGUUUGUGGAGAGGUUCAUGACCAAUAAAGUCAAACCUCCAUGAAUUAUCGAUCUCUUUGACACUAAGCAGCAGGAAGGCAACCUUUAAAGAGUUACCUUAAUCGCUUUGACGAGAUCUCGGUUCGCAUACAUCAACCCAAUGAAGAUGGCAAACCUCUAAAGAGUUACCUUAAUCGCUUUUGCAACAUCUUGAUUCGCACACAUCAGCCUAAUGAAGAGAAUGUGGGCUAACCUCUUCAGUGAGUACCUUAUUCGGAACAAGGGCGAUUCUAUGGUUGAAAUUUGACGAGGAAGUAAUCUUAACUUGAGGUUGGAGGUUGUGUACUGGUAGUUAGUCUAAUCUCCUAUUAGUAAGGAAUUUAACUUAUCCUUAUUAAUCAUUAAUAGAAAGAUUUAAUAAAAUCAUCCAAAAUUUUAGCCAAAAAUAAAUAGAAAUAUGCUUCAGAUACUUGAAAUCAUUUAAAAAGAUAUAAACUUUAAAAAUUAUAUAAUAUUAGUUAGGAUUUAGAAAAUAACAAACAACUCCAAAGGAGCUCAAUUAGAUGAAAAAUAUGUUUAAAGAUUAUUAUAGAUUGAUUAAUCCCAACAAUGUAAGCGAGGUAAAAAAUUUUAUGGGUUAAUUAGUUUAUAUAAAAUAUUUGUCUAAGAUUUUAGCACGAUAACCUCACCUUUGAAUGAAAUAAUUAAAUAAAAUAUUAUUUUUCAAUAAGGUGAAAUCUAAGAAAUUGUUUUUAAGAACAUUAAUUAAAGGAACAUUUUAUUAAUGCACCUAUUCUUGUUGUUUAAAUUUUUCAAAAUCCUUUGAAAUAGAGUUUGAUGUUUCAAAUGUGAAAAGCCAAUGUUACUUUAAAAGGGACAUUCCAUUGUUAACUUUAGUAAAAAGUUAAAGAGAAAUCAAAAUAGUUUUUUCACUUAAGAUAAGUGACUUUAUGUCCUUGUUUGUCUUUGCAAACUAUGCAAGAUUACCUUCUUAAAGAAUUUGUGAUACACAAUGAUAAAUCCUACAAUUUCUUACUCACUUUUUAGGAUUUCUUUAACCCUUUAACUCAUUUGAUUUGUUACCUCUUCCUACUAAUGAAGCAAUGGCAUGUAGUGAUGGAACUUACAAAAUGAAAAUUGUUAAAGACUUACACAUCCAAGUAAAGAAAUACAUAAAGAGAGGAAGAUAACUUAAUAUGCAAAGUCUGUCAAAAAAAGAGAAGAAAAAAAGUGUUAUGAUUUUUUUUCCUAAUAAGCUAAAUUCCUUACAAAGGUAGUUGAUCCUGCCGGUUGACCAAGCGCAAGAACGAUGCCUCGUCACGAACUUUCCUCACCAGCUUUAACACCACGUGCGCUUCAAGUCCACACUACAAAUUGUCUCUCUGAAAACCUGAAAACAUAGUAUGGCGCCUCUGCAGCCGGUGGCGCUCCGACGCUCAAGUCAGUAACAGGAACACCCCAAAAACUGAGAAAAAACUAGGUGCUGUGGAACCGUGCUCAAGUGUUCUCAAUAAUAAAAAAGAGUUGUAUUGAACGUACCUCCAAAUUCUGUUAAGUUUACCUUUUAUACCUAGGUAUUUUCUCUCUCCAGAUAGUUACACUUUGGACGCGUGGACCGCAUCCAACUCUACACGCGUCAUCAUCUGGGCUGGGGUAACUUAAGCGUCGUUUCUAUGUAGCAUCCAACUCUACACGUGUCAUCAUCUGGGCUGGGGUAACUUAAGUGUCAUUUCUAUGUAGCAUCCAACUCUACACGUGUCAUCAUCUGGGCUGGGGUAACUUAAGCGUCAUUUCUAUGUAGCAUCCCGUCACGCGGCCAAGUCUUUUAUUCAAGGUGUAACCUAGCACAUAACACACUCUGGAACGCCACCCGACAAAGCGAGUAUCGGAUGCAACAAAGUACAUCAUCUCUGUGAUAUCGCUUGUCGCAGGUGCCACCUUCCUCGCUGCCACGCCAUGCAUGUUCUAGCUAAGGAAACCUCGCCAUCGACGAAUGUCCACUCUGGGAAUCCCGUCAUCGAUGAGCAAGUUGUUUCCUCCAACUCACUUAACCUCCAUGCUUCAUGCUGACGUAAUAAUCAUCUUUACUGAACUUACACGCCUGAACUUACUUGCCUGAACCUCCAACAACUUCAACUAAGUUUACUGGGAAAUCCGGCGAUGUGCCUCUUGCGGCGAUUCCUGACCACCUGAUCUUCCAUUAUCUAACACGGCGAUGAUACGAAAACCUGGCGACAACCGACUAUGUACACUGAAGAACGCCACUUCCACAAACGGCGACUGUAUUAACUUCUUGACCACUCAUCUUUCUCUUGUCCACGUGUCCCGCCAAGCACGCCCCACGUAGUCACUUACUGUCCACGUCAUCACACCCGAUGACCUGAUCGGUACAGUAGUGGUUCCUUUCAAGUUUUAGAAAGAAUAAAUUUUGAUGUGUCUAGGUUAAAUCUUUCUAGUGAUUAUUGUGAGUUAUAGUUUCAGUGUUAGUGAAUUAUCUUCCUUUGAUAUAAAACUCGCUCAUGAACAAUUUUUUUCCAUGUGACUAAUUAUUAGGAGAUUAAUAAUAAAUUUUUCCUAAUAAAUAUUGAUGUUUCUUUUGGUGUUUGUAAUAUAGUGUCUUCAUAAGUUUUGUUUUUUAACCAUUGAAUUUCAUGAAUUAGAUUGAAUAUGAACCAUUAUCAACAAAUUUUUCAACAACCACCAUCUCGAUACAAUUCUAAAACAUCAAGAAUUGUUAUCCUUUAAUGUUUUUUACACAAGUACUAUAAUACAAUAAAUAUUACAUUAAUAAAACUAGUGAUAAUAAUUACUAUAACAUGACAACAAGUAUAACCACCAUCAAUAUUAUGGAAAGAAAAUGUGUUUAAUAUGUUGUGAUCAGAAAAUUAAGGUAAAGACAAUCAUAACCUACUUAAUCAUUAUGAAAAACAUAACAAUAUACUUAAAAACUAACUUGUUAAGUUUCCAUAAUUUUUUUUAAAAUUAUUAGAAAACAUGGUGUACUAUAUUUUAAGUUUACCAAAGUUCAUUUAUUUCUUUUAAUUUUAAAACAUAUAUAUGUUAAAAACUAAAUAAAUAAAUAAAAACUAGUCACAAUUUAAUAAUUAAAAAUUAAUUUGAUUGGAAUUAAAAGAAAAUACAAACAUGUUGCUCAAAAUUAUACUUAAAUUGAAAUCUUUGUUACAUUUUUUUUAAUAAAAAUAAACUUAAAUAAUUUAAUCAUAUUGAUAAAUAUAACUAGUUGAUUUCCUUUAAAACAAUAUUAUUAUAAUGAAUUGUAUUUCUAAAUACAAGUAAUUCAUUUUAUUAUUUUUUUAAAACUACUAUUUUUUGUAAAUAAUUUAAGUUUUUUAUUUUAAAAAAACUCAUUCUAGUGAACAUAUGAAACAUAACAUAAAUAAGAAAAUAAAGAGGGAGGACCAAAACAAAACCCGAGUAAGAAAACCUAAACAUGAAAUAAAAGAAAUUGGUAUCUGUUAUGGAGAAAAUUCAAACUAAGACAAGGAAGCAUAACAAAGUAUAAGAAAAACUCUAACUUAUUAUCAACACCCAAAUUAGCCAAUUUAUCAACACAAUUAUUGUCUUCCCUAAAAGUAUGAGAAACUUUGAAGUUUAUGCCAACACAUAGUUCCAUACACCUUCUCCAUCUUCCCCUAAUGGAUUGACUCAUCUCAUAUUGGCAUGUCCCGCAUUUGGCCUGCUCCACAAAAGUGACACGAGCUGAAUUUGUUGGCCAGCCCUGCAUAAGUGUUGACCUGCAUAAGAAAAAUUUAUAUUUUUUUAUUAUGAUGUUUCUUACUACACCCCAUCAAAUUUCUUCUUGCAUCUCAUUAAUUUCUGAAUUUAAAACAAUAAACAACAAACAACAACAUUUAACAAAAUUCAAUAUUAAAAAAUUCAAUUCAAUCCUAGAUAUUGAGAAAUUCCACAAAUGGAAACGAACAAAAACUAUAGGAGUGAAGAAAAGGAGCCCAAAACCGAAGAAAACUAACAGGAGACAACACUCAACCUUAAAAAAAUUUAGAAUGGAGUCAAAUCGAUUCUGCAUGAAAUAUAAGUCACAAAAGAAUCGAUUUUGCAUAAAAAACAUGUGGGCUUUCCAUCCAAUAUAGUGCAACAAAAUUGAUUGUCAACUGAAAAAAUGCAUGAAAUUGAUUUUUUUAAGUGUAGUAUAGGCAUGCAAAUUGAUUUUGAAGAAUGUAACUCACCUCCAACCACAAAUCCUUGUUUUCUUUGAUGCUUAAGCAUAGAAAUCUCUCAGCGAAACCACUGUACACACUCAUUGGACAAGGAACAAAGCUCUAACAUGACCCUCGCUGGACAAGGAACAAAGCUAUGAAAGAAGCUCUCUGCUGGGCAAGGAAGAAGUUCACACAACAACGACACAAUGACAAAUGAUUUCAAAUGGUGCACCACACAUUCAUGAUUUUUUGAAGAAAUUUUUUUAAAAGUUGUCAAAGAUUCCGGAAUGUGGUCAGUGUUCAAUGAUUCAGUUCACAUGCUUGCACAAUGUUAAGGGGGUAGUUAGGUAAAAUACCGAAAAUCUACGUGGCUACCCCUUCUUUUUCUGCUCAUGAGAGAAGAUGGAAAUUAAGCACCCCUCACACACUCGUCUUCACAUUUUCCUCCUAACUCACUUAAAAAACAUGAUAAAUCUGUGCACUUCUUUUCGCGAAAGCAGUAGAUACACCAGUACAAAAUAUCAUUACCACGACCCUAUACAAAGACAGUUAACACAAAACAAUCGUUAAAAAAAGAUCAGUUACAUUUUCAUAAUUAUUCAACCUUUUUAACGAUGAUUCUAGGACCAACUGUCAUUAAAAGUGACUCUAGGUGGAAAACAUUGAUGGUUCUGUCCAAGAACUGUCGUUAAAUGUGCUAACAAUCGAUAAUAAUGAAGGUUCACUCCCCAACUUUCGUUAAAAUCCUUGUUUAUUUCCCCCCGCGCCCUCACCUCACACUUCACUCUCACGCCCUCUCUCAUUCUAGUAUCUCUUUCUCUUUCACUCUCACGCUCUCUCAUUUUACUCUUGCAACUUCAUCGCCACUCCCUUCUUGCGCUAGAAUAAAUCACAUCGCACCACCUCUGCGCCUUGUCCGCAACUACAUCGCACCUGCACCGUUAUCUUCCCUACACUGCGCCCCAGCACCUUUGCAGCAUCCCCGGACAAUGUCAAUGACCUUGCAUCCUCCUCCCUCUCACAUUACCACUUUUCAAGUUAGUGUGUUAUUUAGAAUUUAAUAUUUUAUUAAAUGUGUUUAUGUAUUUAUUGUACGUGUUGAUUUUUAGUUUGGAGGUAUCCAACCUUUGACAAUGUUGAUUUAGUUUUUAAUGAAUUAGAUAGUAUUUAUAUAUUGAACACGUUUAUUCUAAGUCUGGAGGUGUCCGACCUUCGACAAUUUUGAUUUAGUUUUAUAAUGAAUUAGAUAAUAUUUAUAUAUAUAUAUAUAACGCGUUCAUGCUGAAUCUGGGAGUCUUCGACCUUCGAAAUUUUUUAUUUAAUUUUAUAUAAUGAAUUAGAUAGUAUUUAUAUGUAUUAAACGUGUUAAUGCUGAGUCUACGGGUGUCCGACCUUCGACAAUUUUGAUUUAUAUUUUCUUAGUUUACCAGUUCUAUAAAUCAAAGUUGGAUUAAUACACCACAUAUAACUGAUGUUUACGAAAGAGGGGAGGAAAAAUUCAUACAGUUUGCACAACAUAAUGUCUUUAGUAAUCAUAAUGGAGUAAGAAUAAGGUGUCUUUGUGUGAAUUGUUUUUACGACAGGAUUUUGAGUAUUUUCGAAAUUAGAGAACAUCUUUUGUGUUAUGGAUUUUUGAAAAAUUAUACAGCAUGGACGUGGCAUGGUGAAUUGUUAGACUUGCCAAGUGUCCGUAGAGCUUCAGAGUGUGUUGAUUUCUCAAUGGAUGAUAGAUUAGAGAACAUGAUUCGUGAUGUAGGAGCAGAAUCUUUUGUUGAAGCAGUUUUCAAAAAUAUGUCUAAUGAUGUAGAGACUCCUUUGUAUCUUGGUUCAACUAACUUCACACGAUUAUCAACAGUGUUAAGAUUGAUGAAUUUGAAAGCAAUGAAUGGAUGGACCGAUAAAAGCUUUACAGAAUUGCUUUAAUUGCUGAAGGACAUGCUUCCAAAAAAAAAUGCAUUACCCAAUCGAAAUUACGAGGCAAAAAGAAUAUACUUUUUCCGAAAGGUUUUAUAUAGAAAUGAGUAUGAAGAUUUAAGAAGAUGUCCCAAGUGUGGUUUGUCACAUUAUAAGGUUAAAGUUGGUCAAAAUGAUGAAAUUGAUGAAGUCACAAAGGAAGGUCCUCCUGCUAAGGUCGUUUGGUAUCUUCUAAUAAUUCCAAGGCUUAAGCAUUUGUUUACAAAUACAGAUGAUGCUAAAAACCUUAGGUGGCAUGUAGAUAAUAGAAAUGUGAUGAACUACUUCAUCAUCCAACUGAUUCUUUAUAGUGGAAAAAUAUUAAUAAAGAAUUUCCUGAAUUUGGAAAAGAAUCAAGAAACUUAAGACUUGGAUUGGCAAUUGAUGGAAUGAAUCCUUUUUAGAAAUUUAAGUAGUAAUCAUAGUUCAUGGCCUAUUUUGUUAGUGAUUUACAACUUACCUCCUACUUUGUGUAUGAAGUGCAAAUACAUGAUGUUAUCUAUGAUGAUCUCUAGUCCAAAACAACCUGGCAAUGACAUAGAUGUUUAUCUUAAUCCAUUGAUUCAAGAUUUGAAAUUAUUGUGGGAUGAAGGGGUUGAUGUGUUUGAUGCAUUUAAGAAUGAAUCUUUCUAAUUACAUGCAAUCUUAUACUGUGAAAGGUCAUAAAGCAUAUCCAAUAUCUGAAGAGAAGACAUCAUAUGAGUAGUUAAAACAUGGAAGGAAAAUUGUGUAUCUUCGGCAUUGUAGAUUUCUAACGAAAUACCACCCGUAUCAUAGAUUGAAAAAAGCUUUCAACGGAUACCAAGAACAUGACAUUUGUCCCACUCCAUUAAGUGGCCUUCAAAUUUAUGAAAAGGUAAAAAAUGUUAAUGUGACUUUUGGAAAAAUGAAGAAGAAGAAAAUUGUGACUGAAAUAUGGAAGAAGAGAUCAAUCUUUUUUUAUCUUUCGUAUUGGUGUAAGUUAGAUGUGAGACAUUGUAUAGAUGUAAUGCACAUAGAAAAUAAUAUGUGUGACAGCUUAAUCAGAACACUUAUGAACAUUAAAGGAAAAAUGAAGGAUGGUGUGAAUGAACGUUUGGAUUUGAUUGAAAUGAAUAUACGAGAGGAAUUGGCACUGCGAGAAGUUGGUAAACGUACAUACUUGCAUGCAACGUGUUACACUUUGUUGAAGAAAGAGAAAACAAGUUUUUGUGAAUGUCUUAAAGGUGUUAAGGUACCACAAGGCUACUCUUCAAAUGUUAAGAGUCUUGUAUCUAUGAAUGAUUUGAAACUAAUUGGCUUAAAGUCUCAUGAUUUUCACGUUCUAAUGCAACAAUUAUUAUCGGUGGCUAUUCGUGGAAUCUUGCAAAAAAUGUUAGGCAUACAAUCACUCGACUAUGUUCAUUUUUCAAUUCGAUAUGUAGUAAGGAGAUUGACCCUCAAAAGUUGGAUGAACUUGAAGAAAAAUAAUUAUCUUGUGUCAACUCGAGAUGUUUUUUCCUCCAUCAUUUUUUAAUAUCAUGGUACAUUUAGUUGUUCAUCUUCUAAGAAAAAUCAGAUGGAUGUAUCUAGUUGAACGAUCAGCCUUGGAUGCCGCCACUGUCUGCUGGAGAGUGUGGACAGUCUCCAUGAGUUGCUGCAUGGUGAUGUUGUGACCUCCUUCCUGUCCAGAUGGACCUUGUCUCAUAUUCCUCAUAUCGCCUGGUAGCUUUGAUCACAACUGUGGAUGGGACCUAGUUUUAUCGGACCCCACGUGGGCGCCAAAUGUUCUUGCCGGUUGACCUGGUCGCCAGUUGACUCUGGGAACAGGUUGUGACUCCGUUUUCCUCUGCUGGAAUUUGCUUUUUCCUUGGAAUGUUGGAACGCGACUUCGUUUGAAAAAGACGGGGCCCUACCUGUUGAUUGCACUUCGACGAUCAAGUCAGUACUGGGCUAAGAAGUAAUGAGAAAGUAAGCAAGUAGUUUCAGUCUUAGAAACGAUGUACCUUUACUAGGGAUCUCAAGUCCCUUUUAUAGACUACUUUUAGGCUACUUCUUGUAACAACCCUUCUCUCACGAGAACCUUAUCUCAAGUGAAAGUAGGUUUCAUGGGAGGAGAGUCUGUUGAGUCUGUUACAAUGUGCACAAUCUUAGUAAAACAACCACCCAAAAUCUCCCUCCUUGGAGUGCAUAAUCUUAACAGCAUGGCCCUAGGGUACCAACUCAUGUACCAACAUCAUGGAGCCCAUCUGUUUAAUGUAGGCGUACUAGCCUUCACGUAUCAUGCAUGCGGCUUAUUUCUAAAAGCCCUAGCGCACUUGGGCCUAGGCGUCUUUGGGGAAUAUUUACUUGUGCUAGACCCGAAUGUACUAUACACACCACAUGCACUUUUUCAAUGAUCAGGCCUUACAUAUAUAUGAAUUUCAACAAAAGCAUUCUUGGGGCCCACUUACGUGGCCCAUUAACUUGACCAGACCAUCGAGCUGACCUGCUUCACACAGGUGUUGAUGUCCAAUCACGUGGGCGCUGAGCCUAACGCUUUGGUCCAGUACAGGUUGUACAAGCACAUUUGUAUAUCCUGAAUAAUACUGAUGAGGUAUUACCAUACUUAGAUACACACAAAGACAUUGUGAAAUAUAAGAAUCCAAGGUAAUUAUAAAAAUGGGUGUUAGUCGAGCAUAACAAAAAUUUCAUGUCAUGAGUUAAGCAACAAAUCAUGAAUGAUCCAUCAACAUCUGAAACAUUGAUAUGGCUUGCAAAUGGUCUAAAGUUUGAUGUUUUAUGUUGUUCUGGCUAUGAAGUAAAUGGUUGUUUUUCUUACACAAAGUCUCGAGAUGAUAAGAGUACAAUGCAAAAUAGUGGAAUCACUUUGGAGGUAGAGUCCAUGCAAUUUUCAACUUCAAAAGAUCAAAAUUCCGUUGUGGGAUCAAUCCUUUAUUAUGGUGUCAUAGUAGAAAUUUGGGAAGUUAAUCAUACCAAGUUUGUGAUACCUGUUUUCAAAUGCAAGUGGGUUGAAAAUAAGACUGAUGUCAAAGUUGAUGAAUCAGAAAUGACUUUGGUUGACUUUCGAAAGAUAGGUUAUCAUGACAAACCAUUCAUAAUGACAUAUCAAGCUUCCCAAGUUUUUUAUAUCCAAGACCUUAUGUCUGAAAACUAGUUUGUUGUGCUACAUGGAAAAAAUAACAUACUGACCUAAAAGAUGAAGAACUAAAUAAUGACAUUUUAUGAGAUUGAAUCACUUAAAGGAACGACGAUUAAUAGAGAGUACAAGGAUGUUGCUGAUGUUGUACAUGCAACUCAAAAUGAUCAUGACGAAGAAAUAUAUAUUUGUAUGUACACGUGUUUCAAGUUUAGUUUUAAAUUAUAUAAUUUUUAUUAUGUUUCAAAUUCUUAAUGCUUAUCAUAUUUGUUUGACAAUAAGAACAUGACUGAUGAUGAAGUUCCUCGUUCAAGAACUUGUAGAGGACGUACUAGAUUAAAAACUAUGUGUAUUAAGAUAAAUAAAGGUAAAAAAGUACCAUUGACUAUUGAUGUCAACAUUGGUGUCGCCAGUGGGCCAAAUUCACAUAAUUUUAGCAGUUAUCUCGGAGUGGUUGCUAGCGAAAGGAUCUCUAUCUUAAUUCCUUCUUGGGAUAACGUCACCGAGCACGAGAGAAACAUGAUUUGGUAGGAUAUUCUGGUAUGUAACUAUUUUUACUUUUUUCAAUCUGAAGUUUGUUUCACUUUGUUCAAUCUGAAGUUUGUUUAUGUUUUUUAUGAACUAAUCAUCCCAAGUAUGGAAUGUAGACGCAUUAUGAUAUCCCAUGUGUAAAAGUUGAGAACGAAGGUUCUAUCUUCAGUGGGUGUUAAGUUUUGUCAGUUUAAAUCAAAAUUGAGAACAACUUAUAUAUAUGGUGCAAGGAAAGGAUAAAAUCCUUGUACAAAAUACAUAUUCCUUGAUGAAGAAACUUGGUAGCAAUUUGUACAGAUUAAACAAACUGAGAAAUGGUAGGUUAAUAUCACCUGUUUUAUUUAGAUGUAGUUUUUAUAUUAACGUUUUAUUAAAUUUUGAAUGUUGAUGAUAGGAUGUUCAGAAGAAAGCACAAUCCUAUCAAGCGCGUAAUGAGACCCCACACUUAUUGUCCCAUGGUAGUUUUAAGAAGUUAGAGCAGAAGUUAAUUCAACAAAAGAUUAAAGCACGUUCUGCUUCUACUAAGGAAGGGAAUUUAGAUUCUUUGAACCCUCCAUCCCCACCAUCCCAACAUGAGAAAUGGAAGAAUGCCCGUCUAAAGCAAUCAGGGACAUGGACUUCUAAGGAAUCACAACGAACAACUGAAUGAAUUAUAAGAAAGAUGUUUUGUAUGUGUUAUUUUAAAUUUAAUACGUGUGUUGAAGUUUGACAAUUUGUUUUCAUUUGUUGUAGGAUUCUCUUGUUGAGCAAACAACAAAGCGGAUUUUAAUCUUUAUGGUUGCGAGGAUAUUCUUAUUAUUGCUAUCGGACGACCUGAGCACCCUAGACGUGUUCGUGUUGCUAGAUAUGGGGUGGGGAUCGCUCAUACUUUGGGCCCUCAUCACAAUGCAAGGAACAUUCGUUCAAUGAAUCUAGCCAGGAGUAUUUGCUACAAUAUAGAAACAGAUAAAGGUUAAGGUUACUCAAGAGAUUAAAGAAAGCUUAAUGGAAGGGUUUAAUAAGUGGAUGGAUAGGGAGUUUGUAAAGCAGUUGGAAGGUUUAAGACUCUCCCAACAACCACCUGCUAUGAUACAAAAUGACCCGCCUCCUAUUAAGAGAGUCAUCACAAAAGGGAGUUGUUCGACGGUUGAUCCACCAGGGGAUGACUUUGAUUCAACUAGCCAAUGUGAGUUGUAUGUUGAUUAUGAGUCUUCCACCUGAUUUGUGACCCUGGGCAAGUGUUACGAAGGGGUCACAAUGUGACUCUUUCUUCUAAUUUGAUAAAGGUCACGAUGGAGAAGGUCCUUUAUGACGAUGUUGCAAUUCCUGUGCCAACAUCAGAGGUGACAAUUGUAGCAGAGGCAUUACAUACUUUCAUUGCCUGAUCUAGGCAUCUCGUCAGACCUAUAUCAGAAUCUAUGGUAUAUCUUUGCACUAAUAGGAUUAUAUAUAAAAUAUGUUAUAUAUGUUAGAAUAUAUGACCUUAAACAAGAGGGGGGGUGAAUUUUUUAUGAAAGAUCUUCGCAAACUUUGAAGAUAUAAUGAAGUUCAAUGUAGAAUCACAGAUACAGAAAUCUAGAAAGCAAUCAAACAAAACAGUUUAAGUUGAUUAUCAGAAAAUCAACCAGUUGUUUUUGCGAUUCAACCGAAUGUUUUUAUAAACAGAGUUAAAAACAACUUAAAAGCAAAAUUUAAAUGAGUUCAGGGCAAAAGAAAUGCACACAAGCAAUUUAUACCGGUUCACCCUUAUCCCAAAAGCUACAUCCUAUCCCCAAAAAUCAUUGGGUAUCUACUAUGCAAUCAAAAUUCAGAUUACAAACACACCACCAAAGAAGUGACAUUGAACACCUCAAGUCACACACUUCCUUUGGCACACAAUCACCACAGAAAUCAGAACACCCUUUGAUUCUGCACUUACACAACAGUAUUCAGAAAUACAAGAGAUACAGAAAGGAUUAUAACUGAUGAAAGAUCAAAUCAAAAGAUUACAGCAAUCCUAUUCCACUUCUUUGAGAAAACCCAAAAGCUUGAAUGCAAAUCUUGAAAACUCAAAUCUGUUUUCACACUUUCACAAAUGUCUAAAAAUAGUUAUCACUUUUGAGGAGCGCAUAACAACCUUUUUAAAUACCCCAAAAGUUUGUUAAAAACAUUUAAAACAGGAGCAUAUUCGUUUAGAAAAUAGUUAAAGCUGAUUUGAAAACUUAAUAGAAAUUCUGUUAUGGAUUUUAAAAAACAAUCGGUUGAAUAUUCGAAACAACCGAUUGAAUUGGUUUGAUAGCAAAGUCAACAAAGUCAAACAGCUUCGAACCCUUUUAAAAAACCACUAAGUGUCGAACAACCGAUUGAAUCGAUAAAACAACAGGUUGAUUUUUCCACUUCUUUAUAAAGCAAUGUUUUUCAAAAAAAGGAUUUAAAACAAUUUUAAAUUCAAACAAAGAGUGGAUUACACAUUAAUCUACCCAGAUCCCACCCACACAAGCAACAACUUCAACCUUCCAUCAAACACCAUGGAUUUGGAGACAUCAAAGCUUCAAGAUCAUCUUUGAUAAACAAUCUCCUCCUAUUUGAUGAAGACAAAUCCUUGGUUGCUUGUGUUGAUCUGUUUGAGUCUGAAUUAGCACCUGCAAAACAGAAACUAUGCAAACAUAAAGCAGAUAAAACAGCAGGUUACCAAGGCACACAAACCAGUUUUCUGCAUUUCCAAAAGAGUAGAAAAACCAGCCAAAAACAGUGCCAAACCAGUGAGUGUAGCAGCAACAUAAACAAUUUUAAGAAAAAUUAAAACUUUAAAUAAGAGUUUGCAGUAGCAGCAUACACCACACAGAAACCAACACAUUCUUCCCCUAUUUGUCUUCACAAAUAGAAUGAAGAAAGGGAUAAAAACAGAAUUAAGAAAAAGUUUUUGAAUCAAAAAUACCUAACUCAUUUCUUAAAAAGAAAGAUUUGUCCUUUGGCAGAGGCUUUGUGAAUAUAUCAACAAGUUGCAACCUUGUCUCAAAGAAUUUCAUCUCACAAUCUCCAUUGUUCACAUGAUCCCUUAUGAAGUGAUGACGGAUUUCAAUGUUCUUUGUUCUUGAGUGAUGAAUCUGAUUCUUAGUGAGGUUUAUAACACUUGUGUUGUCACAAAGCAAAGGCACCUUGCUAAUCUUUAAACCAAAAUCUUCUAGUUGUUGUUUGAGCCAAAGAAUUUGUGAACAACAAUUUCCAACAACUAUGUGUUUUGCCUCUGCAGUGGAAAGAGCCACACAAGCUUGUUUCUUGCUAUGCCAAGAAUAAGACUUGAUCCAAGAAGGUGACAAGUCCCACUUGUGCAUUUCCGGUCUAGCUUACACCCUGCAAAAGCAGAAUCAGAAUAUCCAAUUAAGUGUAUAGGAGAGUGAGAAGGAUACCAUAAUCUAACAUUGGUUGUCCCCUUGAGAUAUUUGAGAAUUCGUUUUGCAGCCUUGAGAUGAGAUUCCUUUGGAUUUGCUUGGAAUCUUGCACAUAGACACACGAAAAACAUGAUAUCCGGCCUACUUGUUGUGAGAUAAAGUAAGGAACUAAUCAACCCUCUAUAUUUGGUUUGAUCUACCUCUUUUCUAGCCACAUCAGCAUCCAUAUAGCAACUUGAUGGCAUAGGUGUGCUGGCUUCUUUGCAACUUUCCAUUUCAAACUUCUUGAGAAUUUCUUUGCAGUACUUUGAUUGACUUAGGAAAAUUCCAUCUUUGGAUUGCUUACCUGCAGUCCAAGAAAGAAUGAAAGCUCCCCCAUCAUUGACAUUUCAAAUUCUCCUUGCAUGGCAGCCACAAACUCUUCACAUAAACUAUCUUUGGUAGCACCAAAAAUGAUGUCAUCAACAUAGAUUUGGACCAAGAUAAUUUCAGAAUUUGACUUCUUGAUAAAGAGAGUUUUGUCUAUCAUCCCUUUCUCAUAGCCAUUGGAUAAAAGAAAGUUACUAAGCCUUUCAUACCACUGCCUUGGAGCUUGUUUAAGCCCAUACAUGACCUUUUUUCAGCUUGUAUACAUGGUUAGGAUGUUGAUGAUCUUCAAAGUCCGGUGGUUGUUCAACAUAGACUUCCUCAUUGAUGAUUCCAUUAACGAAAGCACUCUUAACAUCCAUUUGAAACAAUUUGAAUCCACUCAUACAAGCAAAGGACAACAACAACCUUACAACUUCUAAUCUUGCAACUGGAGCAAAGGUUUCACCAUAAUCUAUGCCUUUUUCUUGAUUAUAACCUUUAGCCACAAGUCUUUCCUUUUUUCUUGUUAUCACUCCAGAUUCAUCCAGCUUGUUUCUGAAAACCCAUUUGCUUCCAAUGAUGUUCAUCUAGUCAUCCUUUGGAACAAGAAACCAAACAUCAUUUCUUGUGAAUUGAUGCAGUUCUUCAUGUAUGGCAGCUACCCAUUUAUCAUCCUUGAGAGCUUCUCCAAUUGAUUUUGGUUCAUUUUGGGAGACAAAGGUCAUAUGCUUGCAGUAGUUAAAGACAACACUACAUGUAGAAACAUCCUUCUGGAUUUGGCCAAUGAUGUUCUCUACUGAAAGAUCCCUUGGAAUUCUCCAUUCCUUUGGCAGCUCUUCCUGUUGCAAAAUUUCAACCGGUUGUUUCGCAGAAUCAAUCGAUUGUUUUUCUGGACAGGAUUCCAAUUUCUGCAUAAUGAUGUUCUUCUCAUCUUCUUCUGCAUAAUUCUUUGUAGAACCCUGAUUUGUAUGAUUGAUUUCAUCGAACACCACAUGAACAGACUCCUCCAAAGUCAUAAGUCUCUUAUUGUAGACUCUAUAUGCAUGGCUAGUUGAAGAAUAGCCAAUGAAGAUGCCAUUUUCGGCUUUUUCAUCAAACUUGCCCAGAUUUUCUUUCCUAUUAUUCAGAAUGAAACAUCUGCAUCCAAACACCUUUAGGUGACUAAUAUUUGGCUUCCUUCCAUUGAAAAGCUCAUAUGAAGUUUUCUUCAAGAUUGGCCUUAUAAGCACUCUAUUCAUCACAUAACAAGAAGUGCUCAUUGCAUCAGCCUAAAAAUACUUGGGUAAGGAAUAUUCACUUAGCAUGGUUCUUUCUAGUUCUCUAAGAGACAUGUUCUUCCUCUCCACUACUCCAUUCUGUUGAGGAGUUCUUGGUGCAAAAAAAUUAUGAAAAAUUCCCAGCUUUUCCCAAAAAGUGCUGAAUUUUUCAUUUUGGAACUCCCCUCCAUGAUCACCUAAUUGUAAUGAUGUUGCUGCAACAAGAUUUUGCCAAUCUUUUGGCAAGCUUCUUGAAUGCAGAGAAUGCCUCACUCUUUGACUCCAAGAACAACGUCCAUGUAUACAUAGAAAAGUCAUAAUCAACAACAAGUGCAUAGUAGUUUCCACCAAGACUCAUGGUUCUUGAAGGACCAAAUAAAUCCAUGUGCAGCAGCUCAAGGGGUUUUGAAGUAGAAACAAUAUUUUUCAAUUUGAAAGAAUGCUUAAUUUGUUUCCCUUUUUGGCAUGCUUCACAAAAAUGGUCUUUCUCAAACUUGAGUUUGGGUAACCCUAUUACAAGAUCUUUAGAUAUCAAUUUAUUCAAAUGAUGCAUGUGAAUAUGAGCUAUUCUUCUAUGCCAUAACCAAGAUUCAUCAUGUUUUGAAAGAAGACUACCAAUAGAUGUAGGAGAAGAGAUAUCUAAAAGAUAAACAUUGUUGAUCCUUUUACCAAUCAACACUACUUCCUUUGAAUUGGGUAGGCAUAUCUCACAAGAGUUGGACUUGAAGGUUACUUGAUAACCCUUAUCACAUAGUUGGCUAAUGCUAAGAAGACUGUGCUUGAGACCUUCCACAUAUAAGACAUCAUGAACCAAGAAGUUGUUCUUGUCUCCAAUGGUGCCUCUUCCAAGAAUCUUUCCUUUAUUGUUGUCUCCAUAAGUCACAUGUUCUUCUUGCUUGAAAUUGAUGUUCACAAACUUAGAUUUAUCUACAGUCAUGUGUUUGGAACAACCACAUCUCCAUGUUUUCCAUCAAGUUUACCUACAAAAGAGAAAUUCAAGAAACAAGAUUUGGUUCCCUUACAAAUGUGGGUCCUUUGGCAUUAACUUUAUCAUGAGGAACCUAAGAAUUCUUGGGAAUCCAUCUCAUUACUCCUUUAGGAACAUAAAACUUCCUAAUAUUGCAGAAUCUAACUGAGUGACCUCUCUUCAUGCAAUACAAACAUGUAAAAACCAGUUGUUUCGAUUUUUCAAUCGGUUGUUUUUAUGACAGUUUUGAAAAAGGCUUUGAAAACUCAUUUUUCUUGCUCUGUGGAUUAAAACCUAAAACUGCUUUUCCAAAAACACAAUUUUGAGAUGCCAAGACAAUCUCAAAGUUGGAUUUACCCUUUGAAAGCCUAUCCACAAUUUUCUCAAGGUAGUGAACCUUCUUUUCAAGAGAUUCACAAUUUUCACAAACAAGUGAGUCACACUUGCAAGAAGAGUUCUUGUAAAGCAUUUCUAGAUUUUCAAAAUCAGUUUUUGAAUUCUCCAACUAUUCUUCCAGUGCCUUGACUCUGUUUUCAAGCCAGUUAUUCAUACCUUUCAAUCAGUUGUUCAAGAGAGUCAAUCAGUUAGCUUCCUCAUGUGUUUCUUUAAAAGCUUGAAGAAGUUGACUAUAAUUUUCAGCAUUUAAAGAAGUACAAUAACUUACACUACUUGCAUCAUCCUCUUCCUUGGCCAUCAAACACAAAUUAGCUUCUUCAUCUUCACUUGAUGAGGAGCUUGAUGAAGAGACAUCAUUUUCGUCCCAAGCAAUGUAGGCUUUUUUUUUUUCCUUCUUUUCCUUCUUGUUUGACUUAUUCUCUUUGUUCUCUUUAUUUGGGCAUUCUGCCUUUAUGUGCCCCUGUUCUCCACAACCAUAACAAGUAUAUUUGUUAGCAUUAAAAUCACUAGAUUUUUUGUUGCCAUACCUCUCUUGGUUGGAGUAUUUGUUGCGGUUCUUUUUCAAGAAUUUGUUGAACUUUUUGGAUAGCAAACUAAGAGUUUCUCCCUCACUCUCAUCACUUGAAACUUGAUUAUUCUUGUGCUUGACAGCUUUUAAAGCAAUGUUUCUCACAUGCUUAUCUUCACUCUCUUGAAUGUUUAGUCUAUUCAUCUCCACUCAUGCUCCUUAAGCUUUCCAAACAAGGAAGUUGUAGUCAAAGAUGUCAAAUCCUUUGAUUCUGAGAUAACCGUGACUUUAGGUUGCCUAGAUCUAUCAAGACAUUUGAGAAUCUUGAUAUUCAACUCUUCUUUGUCAAAGACCUUUCCAAGACUCAUGAGCUGAUUGACAAUAUGAGUGAAUCGCUUUUGCACAUCCGCAAUCGAUUCUACUUUAACCAUUUUGAACAUCUCAUACUCUUGGAUUAUAGUAUGUUUCCUUGCCCUCUUUACAUCGUUAGUUCCUUCAUGAGUUACUUCUAGGGUAUCCCACAUCUCCUUAGCAGAUCUGCAUUGAAAGACCUUGAAAAACUCAUCAGAAUUUAAGGCAGAGGUGAUAAUAUUUUUUGCAAUGCAAUUAAACUUUGCUCUUUUGUUUUCUACAUCAAUCCAUUGGGACCAAGGCUUUUCAAUAAAAACUCCAUCAUUUUCAAGCUUAGAAAUAAAAGGGUCAUUUUCAAUUGCAUCCCAUAUUCCUCUCUUUAUAAAGAGAUUCAACAAAGAUCUUCAUACGUAUCUUCCAAAAUUGGUAAUUCAAACCACAAUACAAAUGUUGUCUGUUUAUUGAUGCACCCUCCCCAAAGGAUAAUUUUUCAGCCAUAAGAAAAAGAUUUUUAGGAUCAAACUUGAAUAUUUUUUAAGAACCAAGCUCUUGAUGCCAAUUGUUAAAAUAUAUGGCCUUAAACAAGAGAGAAAGUGAAUUGUUUAUGAAAGAUUUUCGCAAACUUUGAAGAUAUAAUGAAAUUCAAUGCAGAAUCACAGAUACAGAAAUUUAGAAAGCAAUCAAACAAAACUGUUUAAGUUAAUUAUUAUAAAAUCAACCGGUAGUUUUUGCGAUUGAACUGGUUGUUUUUAUCAACAGAGUUAAAAACAACUUAAAAGCAUAAUUUAAAUGAGUUUAGGGCAAGAGAAAAGCACACAAGCAAUUUAUACCGGUUCACUCUUAUCCCAAGAGCUACAUUCAGUCCCCAAAAAUCACUGGGUAUCUACUAUGCAAUCAAAAUCCAAAUUACAAACACACCACCAAAAAAGUGACUUUGAACACCUCAAGUCACACACUUCCUUUGGCACAUAAUCACCACAAAAAUCAGAACACCCUCUGAUUCUGAACUUACACAACAAUAUUUAGAAAUAUAAGAGAUACAGAAAGGAUUAUAACUGAUGAAAGAUCAAAUCAAAAGAUUACAGCAAUCCUAUUCCACUUCUUUGAGAAAAUCCAAAAGCUUGAAUGCAAAUUUUGAAAACUCAAAUUUGUUUUCACACUUUCACAAAUCUCUAAAAACUGUUUUACUUUUGAGGAACGCAUAACAACCUUUUUAAAUACUCCAAAAGUUUGUUAAAAACAUUUAAAGCAGGAACCUAUUUCAAUUAGAAAACAUUUAAAGCUGAUUUGAAAACUUAACAGAAAUUCUGUAAUGGAUUUUCAAAAAACAAUCGGUUGAAUUUUCGAAACAACCGAUUGAAUUGGUUUGACAGCAAAGUUAACCAAGUCAAACAGCUUCAAACCCUUUUCAAAAACCACUAAGUGUCAAACAACCGAUUGAGUCGAUAAAACAACAGGUUGUUUUUCCACUUCUUUAUAAAACAAUCUUUUUUAAAAAAGGAUUUGAUUCCAAACAGUUUUAGAUUGAAACAAAGAGUGGAUUACACAUUAAUCUACCUAGAUCCUAUCCACACAAGCAACAACUUCAGCCUUGCAUCAAACACCAUGGAUUUGGAGACAUCAAAGCUUCAAGAUCAUCCUUGAUCUACAAUAUACUAACUUUUUUUUAAUCGGCAAUCAAUAAAUUGAACAAAAAGGGAACACAGAGGGGUGUUCCAACCCUUUUACAAUAUUAUUUGUUUUUUGUUGAUGAGUAGUAGGAACAUAAGAAAAAACUGUCUUUGUAAAAGUAGAAAACAUUCUCCAUUGAUGUUGGUGGAAGUUGCUACAGCUUUAGAUACAACCGUCGUAGAGGUUCCAUGGGAUGCCAAUAUUUUUGGAAGGCAUAGUGAUGUAUUAUUGUACUUUCACAUGUUUGAUUUGUUGGACCUUGUAUUCAAAAAUCGGGAGUUAACAUAAUAGUUAUGCAAUUAUGGAUCAUGUAAGUUCAAUUAUUAAAAUAUUUAUACUCUUUAUUUAUUAUAUAUAUUACUAAUAACUUAUUGAAGUUUAGGUAUAUUUGUGGAUUAUGUUUUCAUGAGUGGAAACAAGAUACAUAUGGGUUUUUAGACCAUCAACACAUUCAAUCAAUGGGUAACAAAAAGUUAAAAACACAAACAUACAUCACCACUGCCUUAAAGAAUGGAGGAAAAUAAAUUUAUAUUUCUCCAUAUAUCCAUGAGUAAGUUCAUAUUCAUUAAAUAAGUUAUACUAAAUUAUUGAAAUAAGAGAAACUAACUAAUUUGUUAUAUAUUAUGCAUCAUUAGCAACUACUGAUCAUAUAUGUUCAAGAUCAUAUCGUUGCAUGGUUUUGCUCCUUGUAUAAGAAACCUCCUAACUAUUUUAAACACAUUAUAGAUAGGUACAACAAUUUCAUUUAACAUCUAUUAUUACUUAUACAUUACAUAAUGUGUUAUAACAUAAAAUCUUAUUAUUUUAGUGCUUAUUCUGGAUAUAACAUGUUGAGUGGGAGGGGAAGUGCAAACGCGAAAAAACUUACUUGGAUGCACCUUAAGGUAUUUAAAUUAUAUUUUUUUAUUUUGACUUGCAGUGCAAUAAACAAUCUGAAAAUUAUGAGUGUGGUUAUUAUGUGAUGUAGUGGAUACUAUUAUGUGAGCUGGAAUUGAUAGAAGUUGGGAUCAUGUUAUAUCUCAAUACACAAACACUUUAAAAUUUGGGGUUUACUAUUUAUACACUAAUUUAAAAAAAAAUUCAAAUAUCACAAUUUUUCAAUGAUCCACAACUGCUAGAUUCAAAAAUAUUGGGAUAUGUCAAGACAACAUGGUCAAUUGUUCUCACUGGUUGACUCAAACGACAGUCUCUGUCCCUCCUAUCUCCGCCUGAGAAUCGAACUUCCUUGGUUGAAGAAUCUCUCACCUGCAAAGACAAAGGGCGCCUUGACGGCCGUUUACACUCCGACGCUCAAGUCAAUAUUAGGGCAAAGAAACACUAAGUGUAUAAAGUAGUUUCAGUCUUAGAAAUCGUGUACCUUGCUAAGGUUUUUAGCGCCCUGCCCUUUAUAUAGGUUGAAACUAGGGUUUACCUCUGUUCUGUUACCCAUGUCUAGGGUUCCUUGGAGAAUGUCUGUUCUGUUACCCAUGUCUAGGGUUCCUUGGAGAAUGUCCUUGCGCCGCUAUUACACAAUCUUAGCGUAAUCUGGCGCCAUCUGUUAUGCGGGUGCCCUAAGUAUUCACAUGUCAUGCAUGCAACUUCCCUUGGAAACCCUAACCCUAGCGGGCCUUAGCGCCUCUGAUGCGGACAUCCAAGCCCAAGGGCCACGCACAACAAGAUUGGAAUAUUAAAAUAAAAUAAUAUUAUUAUUUUAUUUGGAGUUAGGAUUUGAACUCAUGACCAAGUACAGAGUAUCAACCUAACCACUAGGACAAAUGAUCAUUCUUGAAAUAUAAGGAUUGUAGUAUCGUCUUAUUUUCUUACAAACAAGAAAAGACCUUUGUAAUUUAUACACUGUUGAAACUCAGAAUAGGGACGAAUAUUUUGACAAUUUUAGAGAGUGUUUCUCUGCUAGGUUUUUCCCUGUAUCUUGCGAUCUUAUCAAGAAUCCACCAAUUCUUGUGGCGAUCAUCCUUAGGCUUAUCAAACUUUGUUUGUGGCGCCUUCCUUUAUCCAGGUUUCUAUUGUUACUGUUUUGAAUUUAUUCCGUUCCGUAACCCUAAAUUCCCAAUUUUAUUGUCAUUUCUAUUUGGAUUCAUAUCAGUUGGUAUUCAGGACAAAGGUUUGAGUCAUAAUAUAAUUAUGCAUCCUGUAUUUUUUUUCCCUCAUUACUGUUCACGGUACUGUUCACGACACUGUUUGUUCACGUACUGUUCACGGGGGGUACUGUUCACGACACUGUUCACGGUACUGUUAAUUUUUUUUAUUUUUUAAAAAAAAAGCAUAAACAGAAAAAAAAAAGAACAAGAGAAAAACAGAAAAAAAAAUAGUUCUUAUUCAGUGCAUACUUGGUGUUUGUUAAAAGUUCUAAAAGUGUCUUGUCUACAUAUUUUAUUUUCUCUAUAUAUUGUUUUUACUUGCUGUUUUUUUAAUUGUUUUGCUUGUUUGUUGAUAGUGAAAUUGUUCUUCACUAUUUUGUUCUUUACUAUUAUUUUUAAUUGAUUCUAAUUGCUACUUUUGAAAGUGAUUCUGGAUUAUUGAUUGCUUGAUUCUUGUAAGAACCUUAAGUAGAGAAAGAGUGGUAAAAGGAAGUGUGAUCAUUAGAAAAAAAACUUAUUGUGUGAAACACGAGUGUUGAGUGUAAACACGUGAGAAAGUGGUGUGAGGCCCAAACUUAUUGUUAUUUGUAAUCUGUUUACUUGAGCAUGGCAGGGGAACCGUCAGAUAGAGGACUGUCUCAACUACAGAUGCAAGCCUUAACACAACACUUGGAAAGGAUAAUGAAAUAACAAAGUGAUGGACUCCAUGAGAGGUUGGAUCAAAUGGAGCAAGCACAACAAGUAAAUCCAGAAAAUAGAGGGGGAUAUAGGAGGAGGAGAAGAGAAAAUGAUGGAGAACAAAGAACUCUGAGAAUUGAUGGAAUAAAAUUAAAUAUUCCCACAUUCAAUGGGAAAAGUGAUCCUGAUGCUUACUUGGAGUGGGAAAUUAAAGUAGAGCAUGUGUUUGCUUGCAAUGAGUACAAUGAGGAGCAGAAGAUGAAGUUGGCAGCAGCUGAAUUUCCAGCUUAUGCUUUAACUUGGUGGAAUAAAUACCAAAGGGACAGAACUAGAUAUGAAGAACCCAUGGUAGAAACUUGGACAGAAAUGAAAAGGAUUAUGAGGAAGAGAUAUAUUCCAACAAGCUACAAUAGGGAUUUGCAACUCAAACUUCAAAGAAUGACUCAAGGAAAUAAAAGUGUGGAAGAGUAUUUUAAAGAGAUGGAGGUGACCAUGAUUAGAUCUGGAAAGAAUGAAGAAAAUGAAGCAAUCAUGGCAAGAUUUUUGAAUGGAUUGAAUCAUGAUAUUAAGGAUCUUGUGGAGCUGCAAGAGUAUGUUGACAUGAAAGAGUUGUUGCACAAGGCUAACCAAGUAGAACAACAACUCAAGAGGAAGGGAAUCAUGAGGAGUUCUAACAAUAAUAAAAAUUUCAAUUGGAAGGAUAAGGCGAUGAAGGAUAAAGGAGUUCCCUCAAGUUCAGUCACAUCUUCAAGUGGGAAGUCACCUCAUAGAUAUAAUAAAUCACCACCUAAAAGGAAAACAAGUGAGGUAAAAUGUUUCAAAUGCUUGGGAAGAGGACAUUAUGCUUCAGAAUGUCCAACAAAAAAGAAUAUGAUCAGUUUAUCAAAGACACAAAUAGUCAGGGAACCUUCAAGUGAAGAAGAGAAAGAAGAGGUAGAGGUGGAGUUUGAUACAUUGGAGGGUGAUUUGUUGAUGAUUCGGAAGCUUAUGGGAAGCAAAAUGCAAGCUUUGGACCAAACCCAAAGGGAAAAUAUUUUCCAUACUAUAUGUUCCAUUCAAGGGAAAAUAUGUUCACUCAUAGUUGAUGGAGGAAGUUGCACCAAUGUAGCUAGCUCAAGACUAGUUACCAAAUUGAAUUUGGAGACAAAAUCGCACCCAAGGCCAUACAAGCUUCAAUGGCUUAGUGAAGAUGGAGAGAUGAAAGUGAGUAAGCAAGUGGAGGUGCACCUAUCCAUAGGACAAUAUAAUGAUAAUGUCUUGUGUGAUGUGGUUCCAAUGGAGGCAACUCACAUUUUGUUAGGGAGGUCGUGGCAGUUUGACACCAAGGCUAUUCAUGAUGGUUUCACCAAUAAAAUUUCUUUCAUGCGGAAUAAUAAGAAGAUCAUUCUCAAACCAUUAUCUCCUAGAGAGGUGUGUGAGGAUCAAAUCAAAUUGAGAGAAAAGAUAGAUGAGUGAAACACCUAAACAGAGCAAGAGUGAAACACUUAAAAAGAUAGAAACACAUGAGAGAAAAAUGAGUGGAUUACUGAAAGUGAAUGAAGUGAAGAAGUUGCUACUUUCUAGAAAACCUCUUUAUUUACCUUAUUGCAAAAACAACACUUUGGUUGCUGACCAUUUUAACCAAAUUGAUUUUCUUCCUAGUGUUGAUUGUGUUUUGCAGGAAAUCCAAACUCAAGUUGAAGAAUUGAUGAACAAAGGAUGGGUACAAGAGACCAUGAGCCCAUGUGUUGUUCCAGUAAUUUUGGUGCCUAAAAAUGAUGGUUAUUGGAGGAUGUGCACAGAUUGCAGAGCACUCAAUAACAUUACCAUUAAGUAUAAACACCAUAUUCCCAGGUUAGAUGAUUUAAUGGAUGAAUUGUAUGGUGGUUGUAUAUUUUCAAAAAUUGACUUAAGAAGUGGUUGCCAUCAAAUUAGGAUUAGGAAUGAGAAUGAAUGGAAAACUGUCUUUACAACAAAAUAUGGAUUGUAUGACUGGCGUGUGUUGCUAUUUGGGCUAACAAAUGCCUCAAACACUUUUAUGAGAUUAAUGAACUAUGUUUUGAGAGAAUUUUUGGGCAAAUUUUUUGUGGUGUAUUUUGAUGACAUCUUGAUCUAAAGCACUAGUUUGGAAUUACAUGAGGAACAUUUGUGUGCUGAACUAAUUAUGUUUACAUCAUGUUGAGUUUGCUUAAAUCCUUUAACUCCAAUAUAUUCCUUAAACACAUGAGGAAAGAAAUGCUUUGAUGCGAACAUCCAAGCCCAAGGGCCACGCACAACAAGAUUGAAAUAUUAAAAUAAAAUAACAAUUAUUAUUUUGUUUGGAGUUAGGAGUUAGGAUUUGAACUCAGGGCCAAGUACAGAGUAUCAACCUAACCACUGGGACAAAUGAUCAUUCUUGAAAUAUAAGGAUUGUAGUAUCGUCUUAUUUUCUUACAAACAAGAAAAGACCUUUGUAAUUUAUACACUGUUGAAACUCAGAAUAGGGACGGAUAUUUUGACAAUUUUAGAGAGUGUUUCUUUGCUAGGGUUUUUCCCUGUAUCUUGCGAUCUUAUCAAGAAUCCACCAAUUCUUGUGGCGAUCAUCCUUAGGCUUAUCAAACUUUGUUUGUGGCGCCUUCCUUUAUCCAGGUUUCUAUUGUUACUGUUUUGAAUUUAUUCCGUUCCGUAACCCUAAAUUCUCAAUUUUAUUGUCAUUUCUAUUUGGAUUCAUAUCAGCCUCCAAGGACUAUUUACCCGUGUCGUGCUUGAAUGCGCUAUACACACCACCUACAUGGAUCUCUCGUGACUUAGGCUUUCCUCAUAUAUGAUGUUUUAACUGGUAACUUAGUAUAAUUCUAGGGCCCACCUUGCAUGACCCACUAUUACUAUCAGACACCGAUGUCCGAUGUCUGAUGUCUCUCUUUGAUGUCGAUGUCUAUGGCACCGAUGUCCGAAGACUGACCAAUACCCUGAUAUGUGCGUCUGGAGUCUACCUGACGUGGCUCACUUCUACUAUCCGGCAUGCGAUGUUUGAGGUUCGUCGCUAAAGUCGAUGAUCGAGGACUGGUCGGUACAUCAAUGAAUGAUUAUUAUAAAUUUUUAUAGAAUUAUUUCAUAUAUUAUAUAUUAUAAAACUUUUUGUAAAAUAAUAUUAUAUGUGCUUAAUUAAUUAUACGUAGUCUUUGAUAUUUAAAUUAAGAUAUUAUAUUCAUUAUACUCAGUCCAGCCAAGGCUCAUCUUCAAACCCAUCAAUUCAUAGCCCAAGUUGCAUAUCUCCUCCUUUUCAACUUCAUUGCUCUUUCUUUCUGUUUAUUUAUUUAUUGAUUCGUUUCAACCACUUUAACCCCACCAUCAUAAAACAGCAAAGCAUAGCAUGAGAAAAUCCAGUAAUGGCAUCUUCAACAACAUUGUGUUUGGGUGUUCUAAUUCCUCUGAUAUUGUUCCAUAACUUGCAUGCUUCAUCUUCCUUGUCUCUCUCCGUAGAGAAGUUGAAAGAAGACGUGAUAGUGUCAUCACCCAAACCAACAUUCACAGCAGGCUUUUACGCCGUCGGACACAACGCUUUCUGCUUCGCAAUAUGGUACACCAACUCACCCAACACCCUCGUUUGGAUCGCCAACCGGGACCACCCCGUUAACGGAAGACGCUCCACCCUCUCCCUUCACAAAUCCGGCAACCUCGUACUCACCGACGCCGCCCAGUUCCAAGUCUGGUCCACCGCCACCGCCACCACAUCCAAACAAGUCCACUUACGUUUGCACGACAACGGCAACCUUGUACUCCUCGAAGAUUCCUCCGACAACGCUGUUUUGUGGCAGAGCUUCGAUUUCCCAACCGACACGCUUCUUCCAAAUCAGCCUCUGAGAGGGAGCACCAACCUGGUUUCCUCGAGAAGCGGGAGCAACCACUCCUCCGGUUUCUACAAGCUCUUCUUCGACUUCGAGAAUGUUCUACGCCUUAUGUACCAGGGCCCUCGAGUUUCCAGCGUUUUCUGGCCUUACGCUUGGCUUCAGAGCAACAACUUCGGUAAUGGCAACGGCAGAUCUACUUUCAAUGAUAGCAGGGUUGCUUUGCUUGAUGAUUUGGGUGCCGUGCUUUCUUCCGACAACUUCACUUUCAGAACGAUCGAUUACGGGACGGUGCUUCAGCGGAGAUUGACCCUGGAUCAUGACGGUAAUGUGAGGGUGUACACCAUGAUAGAUGGAGAAGAGAAGUGGGUGGUGUCAGGGCUGUUUCGCCCCCAACCUUGUUUUAUUCAUGGCAUUUGUGGACCCAACAGCUAUUGCACCAAUGUCCCCACAAUUGGAAGAAAGUGUUCCUGCCUUCCAGGUAUUUCAGGAAAGUAGCAGAGGAAACAGUGAAUUGGGGUCUUUUUGAAUAAAGUUCUUACUAAAAGUGGUAAAUAAGAAGUUAAAACGCAUUGAGCUUCUUCGUCAACUAAUGUUAAAAUAAAGUAAGUUUUUCCCAUGGAUAUUCUAAAACCAAAUUUUGCUUUAGAAGUUGGAGUGAAUAUGUUGAUUUGAAGUUACAAGAUAAGUUUAUUUACUUCAUUUUACUUCGUAUUUUCCCCCUUUAUAAUUGUUUAUACAUAUGGUUGUCUUCUCCUGUAGUGUUCAUUGAGAAAUUUAUGCUAUCAGGUCACAGAUGGGUUGAUGGUCAAGACUGGACUCUAGGUUGCAUACCGAAUUUUGAACCUUGGUGCAACAACACUAUGCAAGAGUCUCGUUUCGUGGGUUUACCUGAAUUUGAUUUUUAUGGAUAUGACUAUGGCUUCUAUCCGAAUCACACUUACGAAGAAUGUGUGAAUCAGUGCUUGCGAUUGUGCCAAUGCAAAGGGUUUCAGCAUAGUCUUUCAGACCAAGGUGGUUUGGGUAGUCAGUGCUACCUGAAGACACAGUUGCUGAAUGGGCAUCGUUCAGCAGGUUUCACGGGAUCAUUCUUCCUGAGACUACCUUUGUCUCUUGAUUAUGAGAACCCCAUCAAUAAUGGUUUGGUUUGUGGGGGAAAUAGCGGAGGAGUGAAAGAACUAGAAAGACCGUAUGUGGAAGAAAAAGAAAAUGAAUCGGUGAGGUUCAUGCUGUGGUUUGCGAGUGCCUUGGGAGGAAUUGAGGUUUUGUGCUUCUUGAUGGUGUGGUGUUUUUUGUUUAGGAAUAAUGCAGACAAACAAGCCUAUGUUCUUGCUGCGGAGACGGGGUUUAGGAAAUUCAGUUAUUCUGAAUUGAAACAAGCCUCCAAAGGUUUCAGUGAAGAGAUUGGAAGGGGUGGUGGAGGUACAGUGUAUAAAGGUGUCUUGUCUGAUGAUCGGGUUGUGGCGAUAAAAAGACUACAUGAAGUAGCAAACCAAGGAGAAAGUGAUUUCCUGGCUGAAGUAAGCAUCAUUGGAAGGCUUAACCACAUGAACUUAAUUGGCAUGUUGGGGUUUUGUGCGGAGGGAAAGUAUAGGUUGUUGGUUUAUGAGUACAUGGAGAAUGGUUCUUUAGCUCAGAACCUUUCAUCGAGUUCAACUGUUCUUGAUUGGACUAAGAGGUAUAACAUUGCUCUCGGAACUGCAAGGGGUCUUGCUUACUUGCAUGAAGAAUGCUUGGAGUGGAUUUUGCAUUGUGAUAUUAAGCCCCAAAAUAUACUUCUCGACUCUGAUUACCAACCUAAGGUAGCAGAUUUUGGCUUGUCUAAGCUACUUAACCGGAACAACCUCGACAAUUCAACAUUCUCGAGGAUAAGAGGAACAAGAGGCUACAUGGCACCAGAGUGGCUUUUCAACUUGCCAAUCACUUCCAAGGUGGAUGUCUACAGCUAUGGCAUUGUCGUCUUGGAGAUGAUAACGGGAAGGAGCCCAACAGCAGGUAUCCAAAUCACUGCAUUAGAUGCAGAAUCACAUAAUCAUGGGAGGUUAGUGACAUGGGUGAGGGAGCAAAGGAGGAAAGGAUCAUCUUGGGUGGAUCAAAUUGUUGACCCUGCUUUGGGUUCAAACUAUGACAGGAAUGAAAUGGAGAUAUUAGCAACGGUGGCUUUGGAAUGUGUAGAGGAAGAGAAAGAUGUGAGACCCAGCAUGAGUCAUGUUGUUGAGAGAAUCCAAAGUCACGAGCACAAUUCUUGAUGAUGGUUUUGAACAAAGAAUAGCCAGACAUCCCAUGGUUUCACCUACCUUGUUUGUCAUCCACAGUUCCAGUUCCUCUCGUUUUUUGGUAGAUUCAGUCUAUCAAAAGUUGUCUGUUCGUGCCUUGUGGUAAAUCUUCUUUUGUUGUGAAGUUUAGUGUUGCUGUUGUAUAUCAGAUUCUAGUGCUUGUAAACCGUAUGUUGUUACAGUUGCAGAAUAUUUCCAUUAAUUGCAACAUGCACUUUUGUUCCUUUAACAUUAUCUGUUGUAUGAUUCCAACUCUAUCAUAAAAUUAGUUACUUCGUACAUAUUCAACCUUAAAAUUAUGGCAACAAUUUUGAAGAUAUAGUUUUACUAUGAUACCCAUUUUUGUAUUAAGCUCUGAAUUACAUAUUCUUUCUGGAUUACACAUUCUUUCUUAUAACCCCAUUGGCUGUGCCAAUGCGGUAGUAACCUUAAGCUAGGGUUAUAAGAUGCAAAAUGAAUGAUUUCCCUGGAUAUUUGAGCGAUCAGGACAUUCCAAUUAACAGGCAAAAAGUUUAUGUUCGGUCCUCUGACUCUUGAGAGCUUUGCAGUUAAUUUAGUAGGUCCAUUGGCAGCGACAAACUACAGAUAUUAUUCAUAAAAUUUACAGACUGCUAUAAAACAAAUGAUAGAAGAUUGCUAAAUUGAUAAAUGAUUGCAAAAUUGAUAUUUUCUACCAAAUAAUGUCUCUUUCCAUGCCAUAUCUAACAUCCCCAGUUGAAUAGAAAUAUGGUGCCAAAUUCUAGUGGCCUAAAUUAGUAAAAGGACAUGACUCCACUCCAUAUCAGUACUUCCUCAGAAAUCAAACCAUCCACUUUGAUGGAAGAAAAAGAGAAAAAAUAAGGAAAAGAAAUGGAAAGAAAGAUAUUUGAGGGGUAAGGAUGAUACUAACUAAGCCUGAUGCUAGGAGCCUCGGGUGAAACAGUUUGUCUCUUGUUAAUAACUAACCAACUGUAGAGAAUGUCCCACAUAUCAAAUUCAUCUUUGCAUAGAAAUGGUUUUCCCAGACUUUCUAGACAUCUUCAUGAGUUUGAGUAGAAGUCUCCGGUUGAUUAUCCAAGGGCAUAUAUUGGGCCAUAAUUGCCCUUAUCUCAGAGUCCAUGUAUCUCUGCAGAAAAAUGUUUCCUCUUGUAAGUUAAACGAGUUUAGGAUGUCAAUGCUUAAAUUAUAAAAACUGAUUGUCAUUUGAACCAGCAAAUCAGGACAACAUAACAUGCUCACUAACUGGAAUGAAUGAGAAAGUAUUAAUGAAAUGAAAAGAUGAUUUAACGAAAUGUAGUUAUAUUUUCUUAGAGCUACAGGUAUUGUAUUAUUUUUUAAUAAAAAACAAUAAUAUUAUUUCAUUACCACAUUGACUGCAAUCCUAACUAGAUUAGUACCUCAAUUAGUAUCUAUCAUUUGCAACAUCCCUCAAAAUCAUGUAUACAAGAGAAAAUAAUAGAAAAGAGCUAAAGGUAUUGUAUGACUUCAUUAAUUCUUUUAUUAAACUUCAGAUAGUUAUUUUGAGACAGUAUUUCGUAUGUGCUUCACUUUAUCUUCUUUUUAGUAUUCGUUCAGACAGACACUUAAUCUUGGUGCCGCCUGACUUACAGCCUUGUCUAAGGUGACCUGCAUCUUGUUCCUCCAACAUUGUACAUCCUUGUCGGAAACAUUCUCAUGUACCACUUACUGAGUGCUGCAUCAUCUUGGGACUGUUCAGUCUCUAUUUUAACUAUUAUGUUGAAUGUUUUGGUUUUAACCAAUGUUCACCUCAUACACAUCGAGCAUUGUAGUGUAACUGUAUUGUCUGAAACUAGGUGUACGAAGGAAACUCUCAUCCUUCCUGACUUUAAUCAUAAGAGUCUUUCACCAAUGCAGCAUGUUACCUCAACACUGGGAAAAUGGAUUUUUUAUAUUUUGAAGACUAUAAAUAUUGAAACAAUUGAAAUUAAUAUACCAGCUUUAAUCUACAUCUGCCUUGAGGAAUAUUUGUCAAAGUCACACUGUUUAAAGGACAAUCAAAUGAGUUAGAAUUAUACCCGGAUUCUGUAUUUGUAAAAUGCAUACCCUCCAGCACCAGCAACAACCAAGAUCAGAAGAACCAUCCAAACAAUGCCCCCACCGGCCACUGAAGCAGCAUAUUUUCCUGCAUAUUUGUAAGAUACCGCUAGUGUGAAAAUGAAUAAAUUAUUAUUUUUUAAGUCUCCACUACCAUGGAAAGGUUAUCAACAUAGAUAAUUAGAAAGCCCAGAAUAAAAUUUAGAACCUUCAGAAACUAAACUACAUACAGUAUAAAUAGAAAUAAAAUGCCAAAGUGGCAACCAGUGCAAAGUCAUGUUUUCCAUGAAGAAUCUCAUCUAUCAAAUUUUAACGAGUGAACAAAAUCUGCUGAUCCAGUAAGACAGGCAUAAAAAAUGUCAUACAAACUAAGUCAGAAAAUGUUAAAAAUAAAAACUCACCAAUGCACAUAUCAUUUUCUCGCGUGUAGAACAAACCAUCACUACAUGAGCAUUCAUAACUUCCCCAAGUAUUUCUGCAAUGACACUCUGGGCACUGGCAGGCCAAUUUCUCCGAGCAUUCGUCCACAUCUACAAAAUCAACACAAGAAAUAUUAAGAAACAAAUGUCAGAUUUGCAAGCUAAUAAUGAAUGGCAUGACUAUUUACAACUGUAGAAUCAUAUUCAAACAUUCUCACCAAGAUUAGUUCAUGAUUGAUGUAUUUGCCAUUCAAAGGUUAGGUACUAGAAGAGUAAUGCUAUAUCUUCCUACUCUAACCUCCUGCUAAUUCUCCUAAAAUCUAAUAAUGAAUUAAGAAAAAAAGUAAAUAUACUUUUAUCAUGAAAACAUAAAAACAUUCAAUACUCUUUUCAUUCAGUAAGUUUUAAAUUUUAUUGGAAGAUGUUGUAAGAAGAUUUAUAACUAUUUAUAUUAGAACAGUUCAAACAAAUUUUGAAUGUCAAAGUACCUUUACAGGAGUUGACUCCAUCUCCCCUGAAUCCAGGUGGACACUUGCAACCUUUGGUGUGGUCGUCCUGCAUAAUCAUUUAAGAAAGAAGGCAUAUAUCAACAUUCAAAGAAAAAAAGCAUGCAUGCAUGAUAAUGUAAAAGAGGAUGGAGAGGAUUACUUACAAUACAAGCAGAGAAAGUUGUGCGACCUUGGGUUUCUUUCCAACAACCUCCAUUGUUGAUUGCACACCUCAAGGCGCCUGUAGCUGCUUCGAAAUAAAAAUGUGUGAAGGUGAUAUUUAUAUUUUGAUUUUUAUAGCUUGGAGAUGAUGACAUGAAGCAAUUUAUCUAUUUUAAAGAAACUAAUUUACCUUCACAAUGGGUAUAUCCAUCACCAACAAACUGGACAUUUUGUACAACUGGGCAUUCACAUAUUCUUCCUCUGAAAGUGUCCUAUAAUUUUGAAAGUGAUAGAACCAAGCCUUACUCCACAUGUAUUGAAGUGCAGUAAUAUAAACAUUCACAAAAACAUGGCAGACAAGAUUGAGUUAACCAAAUACCCUGCACGCAGUAAUGUUAGCAGCAUUGUCCUGCCAACAACCACCAUUGUUUUGCAAACACUCAUUAGUUUCCAUGUCUGCAAAGGAUAAUCAAAGGUACCUGAUAUCAGUUCUUCUAUCCAAAUUGCCAGUUGAAAGAUGAGUUGAUAAGAUUUAAUUUAUUGGUUCUUCUCCAAGGAUGAUUGGAACGGGGAGAAAAGAAGAAAUGCAAAAAAGGACCUGGAGUUAAACAAAUUGAUGGCUCGGUAGUCUCUUGGAAACCUGAACAGAUUGCCUUCAGUACUGCUGCUUUUGACAGCUUACCUAGAAAUGGUUAAGAAUAAAAAUUAUACAGCAGAACAAGGUUAAACAGCCACGAAGAUAUUCAGAAAGGUUGUCAGACCUCUAUAUUGUCUGUUGUUUAUAAUAAGAGUAGGUAGUAUAGUAACAUCUCCACGAUCGCCGUUACCAAUCUGAAACAAAAAAACAUUAACCAACAGAAGGGUCUAAUUAGAGAACAGAAACAAUCCUAGAAGAAGGCCAUAUUCUGCUACAAGACAAACCUGUGAGUCCUGUUCAUUAUUGAGAACAGGGUUAUCCAGAUUCGAAGUAGGAUCUCCAACACAAUCUUUAACUUUCUUCAAAUCAACUCCUGUAAAGUAUGUGAGGGAAGAGUGAACAAGCAUGCAACAUAUCCGAAAUUAGAAUAAUGUAACAAAACAUUCCCCCAGAAAAUUUGAGAUGACGAAUGAGAAGUUUACUUAAAUUUUUUCCAAUAGAUAAAGAGAAUCAAUCAAGCCAUGACUUUAUUUUUAUGUUGAUUUUGAGCAUAAUGACUGUGAUAUUUGUAUAACGAAGAUACAAAUUUGGUUUUGUUCCACAUAUACAUAAAAGCCGGACCCUUUUUUUUAUGCUUAAGCUAGCAUUUUACAUAACAGUGAAACUUCUAAAAACAAUGACAGGAAAAUUUGGCAAAAGAUGACAAUUGCAUUAUUAUGUAAGAAAUUAUGCUAUAUACUAGUAAUGCAAAAUAAUUUUAUGCCGUAAUCUAAUCACAGAUCAUGCAUGCAUGAUAAGUUUGUUUUCUUUCACAAUAGCUACUUUAGAAAUCAUCUCAAAGGUAGUUGUUGAUGAGUUGACUGUUAAAUUUUAUGCGAAGAAAAGAAAAAGCCAUAUAUGAUUUUUACAAGAUUGGAAAAGUUGUGGCGUACACUAAAAAUCAAACAGCAAAGAGAAGCACAAGUCCACUGCAAAGUGUAUCCAACAUACCAAGAGAUUUGAUAACUUGAUCUGAGCAUUCUUCAGUAUACUUAUUCUCUCUCAUUGGGCAGCGGAUUGAAAAGUCAGUGACGUAGUCCCACCAUUGCCAAGGCUUUCCACUUUCAUUUGCCACUUUAAAGAAGCAUACUUGACGUAAGUUUUGGAUAACAACAUCUCUACCACUGUACCCUCUCUUGUAAUCUAGCUCAGGAUCUGGUGCACAGUAUCUCCCAUUAUUUAUGCACUGGGACUUGCACUGUUGGCUCAGUAUAAAUGCUUCUGGACAAUACCAAGUUAUAUAGUGAGGGGUAAACUUUGCAAACCCUUUCUGCUCUAGUAAUUGAGCUGCCCCUUUAAAACCCCUGACAAAGUUGAUUUCACUUUCACACUUUGGUCCACACUCAUCAUUGCUACUUGUCCAAAACUCAUACUCAACUCUCUCAUCAGGGUGAGGAAGAGCCUCUCUCCAAUCAAGAUUUACAUUAACCAUUUCCCCACUAGAGAGAGCACUCUUGAUUUUAUCACCUAGUGAUUUGCUGAUAAGGGCAGAAGGAAUGCUGAUCUUCUCAAUAUAAUCGUCAUUGCUGGCACCAUUUCCUUCUUCAGGUGUGUCCAUGGUGAUCAAUGGUUCUGUCCUAUCAUCUGCGACAAGAAUGGCCGCUGCUCCACCUUUCUGUGCAUUCCACGCCUUCAAAGUGAAGAAGCACUCUAACAAAAAUUUCAAAAAGAAGUUAUACAGAUUUUAUCAUUGAGAACACCUUGUAAGUCUGUAAUAGCAACUGAAAACUAAUGUCAAGAUACAUAUUCGAUUGAGAAAGUUACCCCCAACUGUCCGAGUGAUGCCAUAAAUUAAUUGCAUAAAAGAAAGAAAAAUGCAUUGCAAUGCACAGAAGAUUCAAAUUUUCCACACCAAAAACACACCAUGGAACUUUUUAUGAAAGUGUAAAACACACUCACACCAAUGAUCCUGACAGUUACUCACUCGAUAAAAGUCCAUGUAUAAAAAACAAAACAACUCUAAAUAAACACAGACAUUUUACAAUACAACAAAACUUAGAUGCAAAUCCACGUGUUCUUCUGAUAAAAUUUUCCAAUUAGAAUUAAAGUUUCGUUUCACAUUAAUAUGAAUAAUAAGGAUUUUCAGCAAAGAUCACUGUGAGAAACUGUAAUUCUAAUUGAACAAGCAUGCUAAAAGCACUUAAUUAUGAACUCCAUCUUAAAGUACUUAAUGAACCCAUCCAAGUCUUAUACUUCUUUCCUUUGUUAUAUUUGAAAACUGAAGAGCAUUGAAAGGAGUAAAUGGUAGCUAACCUCCUCGAUCAAUAAGAACAAAGCUGGGGAAGGUUCCGGGCUUGGAACUCAACGAGGAAUCAAAGGGUUUACAUCCAUUCUGAUCGGUCUUGGGGUACACCACUGAGCCAAUCAUGGUUCCUCCAUACUUAGGGACCCCAAAAUUCCCAAUUGCACAUUCAUAUAUACCUUUCAAUGAAUUUGGAGAAGUGAUUUUCAAAUUGUUCUUCUCCACCACAAACGUUCCAACACAAGACCCACAAAGCAAAAUCCAUACACACCACAAAAAACUUUGCUUUGUCCUCAUUGUCAUCAUAUGUUGAACUCUUCCCCUUCAAUAGAGAAAGAUCUCUAUCAACAAAGAGAAAAAGAAAAAAGAAAUCUUGUUUAAGUUAACAACACCACUGAAAUUGAAAUAACAUGUUUGAAGCAGUGUCUGGAUCAAAUGGAAAGCUUAGCUAAGUGCAAUGCAUGCUAUGCUGAGAAGGAAACCCAGAUGAGGAAAAGGAAUUGAAGACCACAAACAAUGGCUUAGUGGUUGUUACGUGGGAGUGUAGAAAAUCAUCCAAAUCUAGAACCAAUAUGCGAAAGAAAUGGACAAUGGGGUGGACGGGUUAGUUACAUUCAACGGUAAUUGCACUCAUUGCAAUAUAACAUCAUACGAUUACAAAUGGACCAAAUGUCGUUCAACAUGUUUUUUAAUAUAAUUCUUCUAUGUUCUUUGUGAAUGUAAAAUUUUUACUCCUCUUUAUUUCUUUUCAACCUUUCUAUAUUUUGUUUAAUUCUUAUAAAAAAGAAUGCUUUAUAUCAAAAUUUAUCGACAAUGUGACAUGGGUCUAUAUAUAUAUAGACACACACCCCCCCCCCCCCCACACACACAUAUAUAUAUAUAUAUAUAUAUAUAUAUAUAUAAUUUUUAAAAUUUACAAGUAAAACUAACAAAAUGAAAUAAUUAAAAUAAAUUUUAAUCAUAUUUUAAAUGUAUUAAAAGUAAUAUAUUUGAACUAUUAUUCUAGAGUUUAAUUUGAAAAAAGUUUAUAACAUUUUAAGUAAACAAACAAGAAGUUAAAAUAUUAAACUUGUAUCCAAGUUUUCAUGACUGAUUUCUUUUGUUUCUUUAACAAAGUAACAUCUGAAGCAAAAUUUCAUAAUAUGAUUUUUUAAGUGUUUUCUUAACUUUUUUAUUACAUCACUCGUGUCCUUUUAAAUACUUUUAGUUUUUUUUUUCUUAUUACUCUCUUGAAUUGUAAGGUUUAUCAUGAAAGUAUAAUGUUGAAAUAGAAUAAUAUUCCUUUGCUUUCUAGAUUAUGCAUGGGUUAAAAAUGAUAGUUUUGUAUAUAAAUGCUUAUUUAAGUGCUCUUUUGCAGCCUAAAUGGUUUUUUUAUAGUUAAGAAUUAUUCUCUUGCAAAUUUACCAUAGAGCAAUUGAUGUGACUAUAAAAGUAUUUAGUUAUGUAUAAGUUACUGAUCUUAACAUUUUCUAAUAAUAUUUAUAAUUAUACAAUUGUUAUAUAAAAUAACAAAGAAAUCAAACCAAUUCUACUUUUCUUUUUAAAGUCAACCAUGUUAAAAUCAUUAAUCCACAUUUUCUACCAUACAAAUUUAUUUUCCACAUUGUUUAUUAUUGUUUUCUUUGUAUUCUCGUACAUUGUAAAAAUAAAAUGUAUCCAUUAAAAGAAAAGUUAAAAAGUUAAUUCAAUCUCAUCAGAGAAUAUAUUUAAAUAAAUUUCUUAGUGAGAACUUAUAAAUGAGAAAAUAUAAAAUUAAAAAUAUACAAUUUUUUUAAUAAGAUAUAAGUUAAUUUUAAUUUUAAUUUAUAACAAAAUUAUUUGAUCUUAUUUAUUUAUUCUAAAAUCUCUUUGGAGGAAGCAUGUGAAAUCACAGCCAUGUUCUACUUUGGAAAUAUCAAUCUGAGUCAAGCUGUCAAUUGUUUUACACACUCAUUUCUGUUGUUUUUCUGUGUCAUGUUACACAUUUCUUUUAAUUCCUAAACUUUGCACAUUUUGUCAAAGACAUAACUUUGAUGAGGGAAGAGAACUGAUACAAAAUACAGCACCUGUUGUGCAAGGUGGACAGUAGACUAAUAACUGAGAGCAUGAUCCAAGGUUGCAAUAAUCAUAAAAUUGCAUCUAUAUGACAAUACUUUUUAAAGACUUUCAAUUUAAUAUUGUAUUUCUGUGUAAUGUUUAUUAGAUAUUGAGAGUGACAUUAUUGUAAUAAUUCAGACUAAAACUUCUUGAUUGAUCAAGACAACCAGUGUCAGAGACGUAAAUGGCAAAUGUAAUGUGAUAUGCAGGCUACUUCAUUGGUGCUUCAAUGGGGGUUUACUUUUUCUACUCCUUGCAUAAAUUGUGGUCAUAUUGGAUUGUUAAUAAUAUAAGGUUUGCUUACCAAGAAACAUUCAAUCACAAGGUGCUAUAAUCAUACAGCAGAAAAUGAGAAAAGAGGUUAAAGAAGCAAAAAAGUUGGCUGCAAUUGAUGGAACUAUUGUAAAACACAGGUGUACUACUACUGAUAUACUAUUCUGCAACUGUAACAUGAUGCCGUUGCCAAGCACUACAAUCUGAUAUACAAUAGCAGAUUAAACUGCACAAUAAAUUGAAGAUUUAACACAGACAGACAAUUUAUUAUGAUAGAAGAAAUCAUCAAGAAGUGACAACCGUGGAUGAGAUGGCUAAUCUUUGUUCAGGCCAUUAAGAUCAUGUUCAUGAAUUUGGAGCCUCUCAGCAACAUGACUCAUGUUAGGUCUCCCCUCUCUGUCUUCCUUUACACAUUCCAAAGCCAACGUUGCCAAUAUCUCCAUCUCAUCCAUGACAUAGUUUGAUCCUAAAGCAGGGUCAACGAUCUCAUCCACCCAAGAUGGUUCCACUUCUGAUCCUUUCUUCUUUUUCUCCCUCACCCAUGUCACCAAUCUCUCAUGAUGACCUGACUCUGCUUCUAACUCUGUGAAUUGGACACCUGUUGUUGGGCUCCUUCCAGUGAUCAUCUCCAAGAGAACAAUGCCAUAGCUGUACACAUCAACCUUGGAAGUGAUUGGCAAGUUGAAAACCCAUUCAGGUGCCAUGUAACCUCUUGUUCCUCUUAUCCUUGAGAAGCUUGAAUUGUUAAGAUUGUUCCGGUUAAGUAGCUUAGACAACCCAAAAUCCCCUACUUUUGGUUUAUAAUCAGAGUCAAGAAGUAUGUUUUGAGGCUUGAUGUCACAAUGCAAAAUCCACUCCAAGCAUUCUUCAUGUAAGUAGGCUAGACCCCUUGCUGUUCCCGCAGCAAUGUUAUACCUUUUACUCCAGUCAAGCUCAUUUGAAUUUGACGAGAGAUUCUGAGCCAAAGAACCAGUUUCCAUGUACUCAUAAACCAACAACCUAUGCUUUCCCUCUGCACAAUACCCCAACAUGCCAAUCAAAUUCAUGUGGUUAAGCCUUCCAAUGAUGCUUACUUCAGCCAGAAACUCACUCUCUCCUUGGUUUGCUACUUCAUGUAGUCUUUUUAUUGCCACAACUCGAGCAUCAGACAAGAAACCUUUAUACACGGUACCUCCACCCCCCCUUCCAAUCUCUUCACUGAAACCUUUACUUGCAUGUUUCAGUUCAGAGUAAUUGAAUUUCCUAAACCCCGUUGCAGCUGCAAGAACAUAACCUUCUCUAGGUAACAUCCCGUUUUUCCUAAACAAUAAACACCACACCAUAAAGAUGCACACGACCUCAAUACCUCCGAAGGCAAUCGCAAACCAUAAGAUGAACUUCACCAACUCGUUUUCUUUUUCUUCUACGUAAGGUCUCUCAAGUACUUUAACUACUACACCAUUUCUUCCACAAACCAAACCAUUAUUGUUAGGGCUGUCAUCAUAGUCAUGGAGGUGAUAAGGCAGUCUCAGGAAAAAUGAGUUGGUGAAACUCGGUGAACGAUGACCAUUUAACAACUGUGUCUUGACAUAGCACUGACCAUUAACACUCCUCGAAGUGCUGUGCUGAAACCCUUUGCAUUCGCACAACCGCGAGCACAGACUCACGCAUUGUUGGUACGUGUGAUUCUCAAAGAGACCAUAGUCAUAUCCGUAAAAAUCAACUCCAGGUAAGCUUAGAAAGCGAGACUUUUGCUCAGUGUUAUUGUUGCACCAAAGUUGGAAACUGGGUAUGCAACCUUGAGACCAGUCUUCACUAUCAAACCAUCUAUAUCCUGUUUCCAUGAAUGAAGAAAUAAUAAGCAUUUAUACCAAAAAGAAGAAGCUAAGGAUAAUAAUACAUGCCUUGAUUCUCUCGUGCAACUUUUUUCUUUUUUAACCUCAAGAAAUCUCAAACUAAGGACCAACACUACUGCUAGUAAUAAUGUUUCAACUAUGCUAUUUCGAAAAAGCUUCAAAAUUGAAGUGAAUACGUUAAUUUUAAUAAUGAAAACGAAACACUAAUUAUUUAAUGUUAUAAUUAUUUUCUAUUGUUUUUUCAAAUACCUGGACUACAGGAACACUUUCUUCCUAUUCUUGGCUCAUAGCUGCAAAUACUGUUGGGUCCACAAAUUCCAUGAAUAAAACAAGGUUGUCGCCGAAAUAGUCCUGACACAGACCACUUGUUUUCUCCGUCUUUCAUGCUAUACAAACGAACAUUGCCGUCGUGAUCCAGGGUCAAUCUGCGUAGGAGUAUCAUUCCGUAAUCACUUGUUUUGAAAGUGAAGUUAUCAGAAGAAACCAAAUAGCCCAAAUCAUCCACCACAACAACCCUGCUAUCGUUGAAAAUGGAUCUACCAUUGCCGUUUCCAUUCCCGAAGUUAUUGCUCUGAAGCCAAGCGUAAGGCCAGAAAACGCUGGAAACUCGAGGGCCCUGGUACAUGAGGCGUAGAACAUUCUCAAAGUCGAAGAAGAGCUUGUAGAAACCGGAAGAGUAGUUGCUCCCGCUUCUGGAGGAAACCAGGUAGGUGCUCCCUCUCAAAGGCUGAUUUGGAAGAAGCGUGUCGGUUGGGAAAUCAAAGCUCUGCCACAAAACAGCGUUGUCGGAGGAAUCUUCGAGGAGUACGAGGUUGCCGUUGUCGUGCAAACGUAAGUGGGCUUGUUUGGAUGUGGUGGCAGUGGCGGUGGACCAGACUUGGAACUGGGCGGCGUCGGUGAGAACGAGGUUGCCGGAUUUGAGAAGAGAGAGGGUGGAGCGUUUUCCGUUAACGGGGUGGUCCCGGUUGGCGAUCCAAACGAGGGUGUUGGGUG